UGACUUCUUGGUUAAUUUUUCUAAAAAAUUUUAUAGCUAGCUAGCAAACUAACUAAGGACCCGUUUGGCUUAACUUUUAUAAAAGUGAUUUCUAAAAAAUUAAUUUUGAUUUGAAGAAGUGAUUUGGUUAAAAGUUGUAGAGCGUUUGGCUGAGUUUAAUUUUUCUGAAAUAAUUUUGAAAAGCUGUUUGACAAAUUUUUUUUUGAUGUUUGCAUAAAUUAAUAUUUUUAUUAAAUUUUAUUUUCAAAUAAGUUAAAAUCUAAAUUUAGAUUUGAAUUAAAAUUAUAAUUUGCAAAUUUCAAAAUUGUACAAAUUUAAAAUUUGAUAUUUUAAUUCAAAAAAUAAUUUAAAAUUUUAAAAUUAAAAAUUUAAAAAUUCAAAAUUUAAAAUUUAAAAUAAUUAUGAAAUAUAAAAUAUAAAAUUGAAAAUUGAAAAUAUAAAUUUAAAUUUAAAAAUAUAUUAUUUGAAUUUUAAAAUAUAAAAUUUAAAUAUUUAAAAAUAUAAUUUUAAAUUUUAAAUUUCAAAGUAUAAAUACAAAAUUUAAAAUUUAAAAUUUUAAAUUUUAAAAUAUAAAUAAUUAUGAAAUUUAAAAUAUAAAAUUUAAAUUUGAAUAUUAAAAAUUUUAAAUUUUAAAUUUUAAGUUUUAAAAAUUUAUAAUUUGAAGAUUAAAACUUGUAAUUUAAAUUUUAAAAGUUUAAAUUUUAAAAUUUAAUUUUUAAAAUUUUAUAAUUUGAAGAUUAAAUUUUAUAAUUUGAAGAUUAAAUUUUAUAAUUUGAAGAUUAAAUUUUAUCUUAAAUUUGAAAUUUGAAAUCUAAGAUUUGAGAUUUGAAAUUUAAAAUUUAAAGUUUGAAAUCUAUUUUUCAAAUUUUAAAUUUUAAAAGUUAAAAUUUAGAAAUUCAAAAAUAAAUCUAAAAAUAAAAAUUAAAAAUUAAAUUGAAAUUUAAAUAUUGAAUUUAAAAUUAAAAUAUAAAUUUGAAGUUUGAGUUCAAAAUUAGAAUCAGAUUUCAAGAAGCAACUUUUCUGAUUUUGUGGUCUUUAAAAUCAGUUUUCUGAUUCUAAGAAGCAGAAUCAGAUUUUAAAAAUAAGGUUGUCAAACACUCUAUUGGACCGAAAAUUAUUUUUCAGCCUAAAAGCGCUUUUUAAAAGCUAGGCCAAAUACUCCUUAACACUUUCAAUCCAAAAAAAAAAAAAAACACUGCUAUGGCUAUGAAAGACUAUAUGCAUGUGGACGGAAAAAAAAAUUUUUAUGUGCAAAUUUGAAUUCACCGAAAAGGAUUAUAUGCAUGUGGACGGAAAUGAAAAUUUUUAUGUGCAGAUUUGAAUCUACCGGAAUGAGAGUGGUUUUCUUUUUACUGGGAUGAAAAGAGAGAGGGCUUUAUCUGGAAAUUGGGUGGAGGAAUGAAUGCUACUUGUGGUGUCAUUUCCCACACGCUAACGCAAGUGACAAAGAGUUUGGUGGUUGGUACUAGAGGUCCUAAGUUCGAAUCCUAGUUGAUUUUCAUUUCUAGCUAAGUUUAUUUCUAAAUAAAAUAAAUGAAACGGGUAGUGUACUAUCUAUCUCUCAAAAAAAAAAAAAUAAUUUGUUCUGUGGGCUCUUGUAUGCAAAUGGAGUAUAUAUAUUUGCAUUAUCUUCAAUGAGAGGGUACUUCAAUUAGUUGUAACCGCCGUUAAAUAUGGUUUAAGUUGUUUGAAUUUUUUAUAUUUCAAAUUUUACAAAAGUUGACGUUAUUUGCUUAUUAGUAUCCAAGUGGUCUCUAAAAUUGACUAUUUUUAAAGAUUAAUAUAAGAUGAAUCUAAAAUCAUAUAAUUAAAAUGCAAAUGAUAUUGAAAAAUUACAAAAUCGAGCCAAUAAACCGUCAAAAAGAUUAAUAUUAUAUUUAACUAUAUUAAUCAUCAAUAUAAAUACCCAUCGCCCAAGACAUAUGGUAGUAACCAAGUAUUCUAACUUCCUACUUUAAAGAAAGUUUUGUAGGGAUUCUAUUUCAGCUGAUUGAAAAUUUGUAACGGCUCUGUCCUGUUAGUAAUAAUAAUUCGUUGGGUCAAAAUCAUUAGCUCAAAAUAUUUAAGUUCAGUUAUAUUAGCAAUCAUAAAUCCUAAAGUUCAAACUAUUCGACCAAAAUGCUUAAACUCAGUUGUAACAUAAAAUUACAUACUACUGGCUCUUCUGCUAGUAAUAAUAAUUUGCUAUAUCCAAACCACUGGAUCCAAAUGCUUUAGUCUAUUUAUUAGUAUAAGAGCUUCCGUUCUCUAUAUUCUCAAUUAUAAUUUCUUUUUCAUUAUAUAUGAAACUAUUGGAUCGUCACAAAAUUCACCCGAAGAAAUCCGGACAUAUGCGGGCAGAGGUAUUUGUUGCCAGUUCUACUCCUUGGCUGCAUAAUUUCUUAGAAUUUUAAAAAUAUUUGGCACAAUAUAUAAUCUAUGAGUAUUACUAUCUAUGAAUCUAUAUAUAGAUUAUAAUUAAACUGUACAUCUUAUUUAUUUAUUUUCUUCUGAAAGUGGUCUUAUCAAUUUUUUUUAUUUUUUUUCGCAUUAUAAACCUAAAACGGAUUUAUCAACUGGGAUGUAACAUACAUACAAAGUAGUAGGUGCACAAGCAGCAUUAGAAUUUUUUAAAAAAUAUAUAUUUAAUAAUUUAUUUGAAGUAUUUUGUAAAGAGUACCUUGUUAGAAAGAGCGCAUCUUGGUGGAGAGGAGAUCCAACGGUGGGAGGGGGGCUGCUCCUGUUCUUGAUAUCCUUGAACUUCUUGAUACCCACCUCCUUGCACAGCUCCGCAUCCGCCACGAUUACCAACGGUUGCCUCCCCAUGUGGAACCUGCGCUCAGUUCAGUUUCUUCGUCAUAAAUUAAAUUCGUCUGUAAUCCUCUCAUUCAACUGAGCGCUAAAACGCAACAAGUUUUAUAUAUAUAUAUAUAUAUAUAUAUAUAUAUAUAUAUAAAACGUGAUUUAGAGUGAAAAAAAGGUGAAUUGGUUACCUAAAUAUUGGGCCGUACUCCUUAGCGAAGACGCGCAGAAUAUCUGGACCGUACUUGGCGAGCGCGGGGAGGUGUCCGACGAGAAAUGUGGCGGGAGGUCCUGGAACGGCUCUCACCCUCCAGUAAGGUAGAUAGAAGUACACUAGAAAAGCAACCAACAAGAUUACUGAGCUCAGCAGGGGAGGAGCACAACCUCUCACAAGGUUCAUCUCGGUAUUCUCCCAUCCACUCAACCAACCUCUCAACAAAUCCAUGUUCAGACUUUAAAGAGAAAGAGAGAGCUAAGAGAUGUGUUUGUUCCACAGUUUCUGGGCUACGUAUUUAUAGAGGGAUCUCUCUUUUCUAGAACAAACAAUGUGCUCUCUCCUCUCUCCUAUAUAUAUCACUAAAAAUAAUUUGAUGGAAAGAAGGUCCCUAUCCUCCUAAAAGAAUAGCAGUUGGAUUUUAUAUAUAUAUAUAUAUAUAUAUAUAUAUAUAUGUAGAACUAGGCUGAAAUACUAUCAAUAGUAUCAAACUAUAGGUGUUAUUAAUUUUUUAGCCUUUGGAUUGAAAAAUGUGCGAUUAGGAUAAUGUGGACUCCUUAGGAUUGAGUGGGUGGUUGGUUGGUUGAAUAGUAUAAUCUAAUAGGUAAAAAUAAUCAAUGGGUUAAAUUUAACGGUAAAAAAGUCGAUAGCACCAAAUCCUUGAUGCUAUCCAAAGUAUCCAAGCCAGACUCUAUAUAUAUAUAUAGUUUUUGAAUAUGAACAAUUUUGCAACUAAUCGAUAAAGAGGAAGAGAACGGCCCCCUCGCGCAGGAUUCACUUUCUAAAAGAGAGACGUUAAAGACGAGCCUACGACGGGUGCUACUGGACGAAGCUUCGGUUUGGAAAACCAGGGCCAAACAACACUGGCUGCGGGAGGGUGAUGGCAAUACUAAGUUUUUUCAUUCUAUAGCGAACGGUAGACGGAGAGCUAACUGGAUUGCUAGCGCAGAUGAGAAUGGGGUCAGUUAUCAUUCAGAAGAGGAGAAGAAGUGCUACUUCUAUCGGUACUAUAAGGCGCUUUUCUCACCGGAUCAAUCAACCCCAACUACAUUCGGGGACUGGAGCAACUUAUUCCAGUGUAGUCGGGUGGACGCCUCCGAUCUAACGAGGCUAACUGCACCUUUCGGCAUCGAUGAAAUAAAGCAGGCCGUGUUCCAACUGGGGAGGGAUAAGGCGCCGGGCCCGGAUGGCUUUCCACUUAGCUUCUAUCAGACGUUCUGGGACACUGUCAAGGAGGACAUCGUAAAUCUUUUCCAAGAAAUGUACGAGGGGCGCCUAGCCACGGCACCCAUAGACUACGCCUUCAUUUGCCUCAUCCCCAAAAAAGAGGGGGCAGUGUAGGCAACCGACUUUCGCCCCAUAAGUCUGCUCAACGGGAUCCAAAAGAUCAUUUCUAAGGUCCUGGCCAAUCGCCUCGAACAGAUCAUGGGGGACCUAAUAUCUCCUUUGCAGUCUGCCUUCCUAAAAGGGAGGAACAUCGUAGAUGCUUACGCGACGGUUGCAGAAAUCGUCGCUUGGGGCACCAAAAGGGCGGUGAAAGGAGUGGGGGUCAAGGUGGACUUCGAGAAAGCGUACGAUAGGAUCUCCUGGCCUUUUCUAUUUCGUAUACUACGAUGGUGGGGUUUCGACGAUAAGUGGUGCGGUUGGCUAGAACUUUGUGUAUGCUACGCGAAAGUAGCUAUCCUAGUCAACGGAGAGCCAACAAACUGGAUCAAGACAAGAAGAGGCGUUAGGCAGGGGGAUCCGUUGUCGCCUUUCCUAUUUUUGUUGAUAGCGGAGUGCCUAGCUCGUAUGACUAACGCAGCGGUCUCAAACUCGCUGCUCAAAGGCUUGGGACCUUCUGACGCAAGUAGGGUCUCUCUGAUCCAAUUUGCGGAUGACACCUUCUUCUUCUGUGAGGCUAGGAAAAGGCAUAUGCGGAACCUCAGAUUUGUAUGGGGGCUCUUUGAAUGGGCCUCGGGGUUGAGAGUCAACAGAGAUAAAUCGGAAUUGUUCUACCUGGGACAAGAAGAUGGCAAAGCUGCAAGCCUUGCGUACAUUCUGAAUUGUAGAGUAGGGGUAUUUCCGACGAAGUACUUAGGACUCCCCUUGUCCCCUAAGCCACCUAAUAAGGAGGACUGGAGGGGGAUUAUCCACAAGAUACACUGUAAAAUUGAUGGAUGGCAUGCCAAACUUCUCUCUAGGGGGGGAAGACUCAUCUUGGUUAAUGCGGUUCUAACCAAUCUACCGUUGUACUUCUUAUCGGUGUUUAAGGCUCCUAAAUGGGCGAUUAAACGGAUUGAAACGCUUAGAAGAGACUUCUUCUGGAAUGGAGGACGUAACUCCGUGGGAAAGGGCUGCCUGGUGGCUUGGAAUAAUGUCUGCAGGAGUAAGAAGGAAGGAGGGCUAGGUAUCUUGGAAGUUGCGAGCAUGAAUCAAGCCCUUCUGGUUAAAUGGUGGUGGAAAUUCCACACAGCUCCCCAGUUACAGUGGAAUCAGCUAGUCAGAGACCUGUAUUACCGAAGGCGUACUCCUUUGAGGGAAGGCAAAACUUUCAGACCCUACUCUAGCUCGUGGAAGGGGGUGCUGAGCCUUAACUAUAUUUUUUCUUGGGGAAUGGCUUACAACCUGGGCAACGGGCGGGCUAUCGAUUUUUGGCACGAUCGGUGGUGUGGGGACAAUUUGCUGUUUCUUUUGUUUCCGACGGUCUACCUUAUGUCUGGGGGGAAAAACCUGAAAGUAGGCGAUUGUUUUACGAGGGGAAGGUGGAACUGGUCUUUGAUUGAGGGCGGCGCUGCGGGUCAGAGUCGAGGGACGAGGGCCAGUCUAGGGGACCUAGAGGAACGUAUCUCUGCGCUCUCGGUUCGAUCCACACCGGACAGGUUACUUUGGCGAUGGAGCGCGGAUGAACUAUUCACGGUAAAAUCAACCUAUAGGGCGUUGACGGAUGGGGGUACGAGGGAUGCUCGAGCCUCGCGUGUUUGGAGACUCAAAAUCCCUUUAAAGGUAAAGAUGUUCUGCUGGCUGGCCCUUAGGAAGAGAACGCCUACGAGGGACAAGCUCUUCAAGAGAGGAUGGAUUCAAGACCCAACCUGUGUACUCUGUGGGUCGGAAGACGAAUCUGUGGACCACAUGUUUUCCCAGUGUGUUUUUACCUAGUUUAUACUAGUAAUGGGGUUAGUGGGCGUGCAAACACAAGACCUGGGGGACGGGGUGAACCUAGUCUGGGAUAGAUGGUCCACGAGGAAGAGCCUACACACGAAGAGGUCCAGUCUCACUGAGCUAGUUUGCUGCUGGUGGGUCGUUUGGAAAGUCAGAAAUGAUUUCAUCUUUAGGAAAACCCUGCCGAAUCCGGAAACAGCGAUCCGCUAUCUAAAUCAGCUGAUGAAGGAGUGGGAUUCACUGCUCUCAGCUGCCGAGAUGUGAUCUACUCUUGUUCUACUGCUUUACCUCUUUUUUUUUUUCUUUUUUUUUUUUUUUUAGUCUCUUAGGGGCCCAAGUUGUCCCACUCUUGUAGCCUAGUUCACCCUCCCAUUGAAUGAAGCGGGUAGCGUGCUAUCUUUAUCUAAAAAAAAAAAUAAUUUUGCAACUAAAAUUUUAAAUUCAGACUGACUGCCCCUAACACAAGUGGAAAAAAAUUUAAUGGUUGGUAUCCCGAGGUUUCAAGUUCGAAAUCUAGUUGCUUUAGAUUUUCAGCUAAAUUUAUUUCUAAAAAAAAUAAACGAAGCGGAUAGCAAACUAUCUUUCUCUCUAAAAAAAAAAUUUGAGUUCAGCUCACAUAAAAGAUAUACUAACAAACUUUACUAUGAAGGCUCAAGGUGAUCAACCGAAUAAAGUAGAGAACUAAUGAGAUCAACCAUAGGUUUAGAUAUUAUACAAAGAUGAAAUGAAAAUGGCAAUUUAAAAAAAUGAAUGAUUUAGAUCAGGUUUGUGAAACAAUUAAUUAAUUUUUUUAUAUUCAACAAAGUCUUUACAGUGCAAUUAUGAGUACACAUCCAUAGAUUUUUUUUUUUUUCUCUCUUACUGCCCCACAAAAAAAAAAAAAAAAAUCUCUUAAGGUGGAAGAUAUUUCUACACGCAACCAUAACCUUAAUUUAUUGACCGUAGAAUGCCAUAGAAAGAGAAAAAGCUUGAAAGUAUCAGAAGAUUCUUACAAAAGUGCACUUCAUAGUGCGAUGUAAAAUGAGGGGAAUCUUGAAAUUUUGGCCUUAAUUUUGGUACUCCCAAGUUACCCUUUGCAUACCUCACACAUUGUUAAUUUGGCUACUAAACACGUUUCAGAAAAAAUAGUUUGAGCACUAAUGAGCUAUAAUAGCUAAUUAAAAUAUAUUAAAAUACUAAUUGAACAGUAAGGACCAAUCAUUAAUUUGCGAUAAGGCUACAAAAUGAUAAAAUCAUUAAAAAGGUAAAUAGGUGGAGUUGUCAUGUGUGGUGUUGAAAUGAAAGCUUCAAUAGUUAGUUGUGAUAUGCAAACCUUCUUCACCGUUGAAGGUGCUUAGUUUUGUCCCCAGUCCUUUUGAUAGUGCAAAGCGCAAUCAAUAUAUCACUGUAGAUGAACAUGUCUUCGUCGGUGUCAUCGACUAGAAUAGAAUCUCGAUCAAUAUUCUUCUUUAUUCCAUAUUCUAGAAUAAUAAUAUCAACAUAUAUUUCAACGCAUGUAUCUGUCUCAGUAACAUCCGUCAAUGCUGUUAAUAUCAUGAUAUUUAUAUAUUAGAGUUAUAUCUAGACCGCUGAAAAUGAUCCUAAGCGAAAAAAGAAUAUCUGUAAGCGAGAAAUAGAAACAUGUGCAGCUUUAUUUGUAAAUUUUUAUACUCAAAAUGAUCUCCAAAGCUAACCUAAUAUAUCUAAGUUCUUUCUCCCUGCAAUUUUAUUUUUAACUUUUAUCCUUAGCUAGAAAUCAUGAUAAGUCACACUUUUUUCUAACCCCUGUUUUGAGGGAAACCAUGAUGAAUCGCACUAAACUCAGAGUUAUAGCUCGCUGAGCCAUAGCUACAGAAAACCAAGAAAGUAAAAUAAGUGCACAAGAUACAAACGUACACAACAAUAAAAAGCUUCAUAACUAAGAUCUCUUGGUCACAAGAAGCCUGACACCAUGCUUAAAAUUGGCUACAAUUCCAUAUUGGAACUGCAGAGGGGAUUCCAUCAAGGGGGAGUGCCGGAAAAUGUAGCGUCGGUAGAGAUGUAUGGCAGCUAACUUGAUCUCGAGGAUCGCAAAUUUCUGACCGAUGCAUGCUCUGGGUCCGAUCCCGAAGGGUAUGAACGCGUACGGGUGCCUCUGCUUCUCUUCGUUGCAAUUCGGAUCGAACCGCUCUGGACGGAACGCAUUGGGUUCGGGGAAGUUCUUGGGAUCUCUAGCCAUGACCCCUGGAGCUAGCCACACCCAUGUGCCCUACAUGGUGAGCCAAAAAAAAAAAAAAAGAGCAUAAAUGCUUUACUUAUACAUUGCUUUUACUAUCUAAUAAAAAAAAAAACUUAAAAUUUUAUAUUUUAGAAAUGAAUUGAUUGCAAACUUUCUCUGAAAUUUAUAUGUACCUUCGGAAGGACAUAGCCUCCAAGCUCAACUUGCUCUGAUGUUUGCCUCGCAAUCAAUGGCGACACAAAGAAGAACCGCAUCACCUCUUUUAUCACCUGUAAAGAUAAAUUGAAAUUAAUCAUCUUGUAGGCAUCAUUAAUUACUAAUUAGAUUCUCUUUGCAUUAAUUCAAACUGAUAUAUAGUCUUUCAUGUUUAAAGAAAAACUGCGUUGCGCAUACAGUUACGUACGGAUACUCAAAAUGUAUUUGUCAUUUUUUACGCUUUGGGCAUUCGCAUAAUUCAGUUGGUUCUUAUAGAUUUUGUGCUUGAGUUUUGCUGCAAAGUUGGAUCUUAUAAAGUAAUUUCUAAUCUCCGUGUCUAUUUGAUCUACGUCCUUUCUUAGAGCAGCUAGUUUUGUGUUUUUAGAAGAACGAAAAAUCGGAAACACAAAGUUCAACACGCCUGAUCAAGGUAGGGAAACUUGUGCUGCAGAUCAUCGGCGGUCGGAACUCGAUCACGCGGACCGAACUGAUCGAUCUCCUCGAUCAGCUUUGCCUCCACCUCGGGGUGUUUCGACACCAAGUAAAGAAGCGAGGCUAUGGUAAAUGAGCUCGUCGUCGACCCAGCAAGAAGGUGCUCAUACGUAAGUGCGCUCACGAAGUCCGGCGUGAGCAGCUCCCGCGCCGCCUCAUCCUUGUCCCUCGCAUUCAACACAACCGAUAAGAAAUCCUUUCGCCCUCUAUCGAUCUUUUGUGCUCUCUUGGUAACUAUUUCAUCCAUUCUCUUACUUAGCCUGGAGUUGGUUUGAUCAAUCUUAAAAUCCGCGGUCCACGGAAUUCUCUUUAGUAUGUGUCUAAAUGGUUCUUGGAGGAAUGGAAUGAGAAGGCCCAGCAUGAUAGAGAAUGAGCCACUUAGGUCCAUUUUGAGUGAGGUUGUGGCGUACACAUGUUUUUGUACGAAAUCCGCGACUUCUUCUUCUGGUUCUUCUGCUUCUGCUGCUUCUGCUUCUCCUUUUUCUUGUUUCGCGAGGCCGAAAUCGAUACCAAAGGCGGCCUCGCCGAUGAUGUCGGUGGAGAGUUUGAUCGAGAAAUCAGAGAAGGUGAUGUCCUCGUCUUCUUUGAUUGUAGAGAGUGUUUUUGUUGAGCGCUCUAUGUGGGAUUGCAUUGUGGGGAUUAGGCUAGCUAGAUGCGAAGGUUGGUAUAUUGCGACAAUGAUGUUUCUCAUGGAGGACCAUCUUGAAUCCCUGCAUAUACCAAAAUUAUGGAAAAAAAAAAUAUUGUUUUAGCAUAUCUAUUAUUUAUACAGGCAUUAAUUAUCAAAGCCUUCCCAAUGGCUUUCUGUUGUAGCGUAUAGAGUUUGGAAGCUUAUUUCAGCUCUCAGCCAUAGCAAAGCCGAGUUAAAUGAAUACUUAAUGAUGAUAUAUAUAUAUAUAUAUAUAUAUAUGUAAGGUUUACCUUGUGAAAAAGAGACCUUUUUGGUGGAUAGGAGAGUUGGUGAUUGGAGAGGGCAUGCUCCUGUUGGGGAUGCUUUUGAACUUCUUUAUUCCUACCUCUCGGAUCAGUUCUGGAUCAGCCACAAAAAUUAGAGGUUGUCUCCCCAUGUGGAACCUGGAUCAAGCACAAUUAAUGUUAUGCCUAAUUAAUUAGUUGUACAGGCCCAAGAGAAAAUUCACUCUCGCUUUGGUUGUGUCAUUAUAGUUAGCUCGACUUUUGUGUUUGUAGGAUGUGGUUGCAUCGCAAAUUGGCCGUUGGGCUUGGCCAUUUGAAAAUGCAGUGGCAAAGCGCAAAAGCAGAAAUCCUACAUUCCGUCAAAAGAAGCUCUCAGUCUGGUGAGAAGUUGCCGUGAGCGAUCGCUAAGCAGCGCCGAACAGGUCGGGCUGAGAUUGGAUUGAGCAUUAAUGGGCCAAAUUUGGCCCUAGUAGCCUUAACAUUUUUACUAUUCAUUUUUCACAAACUUCUUCAUUUUUCACAAACUUCUUCUACCUUGGACCUACCAUUAAAAAAAAAGUCAAUUUUAUACAGCUCUAUAUAAACGUAUCGAAUAAUACAUAUAUUCCUAUAAAAUUUAAUUUUUUAUGUUUAUUCCUAAAAAGUCCAGUGAUAUUCAUAUUUUUCCUCUGGUUUGUUACUGUAAUAUUCCUUUAGUUUGUUACCGUUAGAGCACUGUUUAUUUUUUAACAGAAAAUAAAUGAAAAGAUUUUUUUGUCAUUACAAAUAUGUUCUUGAAAAGCCCCAAUUGUUAGAAUUACGUAGAAUAUCUUCCCAAAAAUCUCUAACGGACCGACUGUCCCUAGAGCAAGUGGCAAAGGCCUUGGUGGUUGGUACCUGAGAUCCCAAAUUCGAAUCCUAGUUGAUUCACAUUUCCAGCUACGUUUAUUUCUAAAUGAAAUAAAUGAAGCGGGUAGUGUGUUACUUAUCUCUCAAAAAAAAAAAUCUCUAACGAUCAUCUUCUUCUUUUCUACCAUCACAAAUAAUAUAAGAGGGAUAAACAUUUUAAUUUAUUCCAUUCACUAAUCAGGAUUAAGUAUUUUACAUAUGAUUAACUAUAUUUUUCUAAAUAUCUAUCUGUAUCACAAAAAAAAAAAAAAAAAAAAAAAAAAGCGUUUGAUUCAAGAUGCAUAAGGCCAGGAUUUUAAACUGUGCGCCUUAAUAGUAGGCCCUGCCAGGCCGGCCCAAUAAAAUUAUAUUGAUGUGGAAGUUUAAUUAAUCACUCUAUUAGACUAUCUAUAUCUUUCUUAAUCAACUUGUGCGCCUUUUAAUCCAAGAGCUCUGAAUUCCACAGCUGCUUACCCUGUUCUGCAAUUUCAUAGUUAAACUAAAGGAUUGUAGGGUCUAAUUGGCUCGGCUGCUCAAUUGCAAAGUGAAGUGCACAACAACAUAAUCGUAAAGUUCGCAGAAGCUAGGCCAAACUGAUAGUAACCUUAAAGCACGCAAAUGCGCAAUUGUGCACCUUUUCAUUUGAUUCACGAAAAUAAAGAGAAGAGAUUAUCGGAACCUGAAGAUGGGGCCGUAGUUCUUGGCGAGGAUGCCGAAUAAAUCGAGCUCAUAUUUGGAGAGCAAAGGGAGGUGGCCCACGAGCGGAGUCACCGGAGGUCCGGGGACCUUCCUCACUUUCCAGUAUGGCGCGUAGAAAUAAAUCAAAAAGCCCACCACUAAACUCACCGACGCAAAGAGAUAAACUAAAACCAUUUCUCUUGAUCUAUUUCUCUCUUUGUUGAAGAUGGUCGUGAUGGCUCCUUUUAUAGAAUGACGAUGCUAAGCGACCUACUAACUACUUUAAACAAAUAAAUUUAACCAAUUAAUUCUAAACUGGGGAUUAUGUCUCAAAAAUAAGAUUCACGGUUUAGCGUGAUUGGUUGGCUCAUUGCUUGCUUAGUCUCACUGCAGGUGACCAAUUCUAGUUAAAUAUACAAGAUUUUGAGUACCCAUCUGUUCCAAAGACUAAAUUGGAAGUGAUAAUAUUUAAAAAUGAGUUUUUAAAAAAAUUAUAAAUUUAUAAUAUUUAAACGUGCAUUAAAAUGCCUCUGAAGAUGCUUCUUGGACGGCUCUUGUACUUAUUACCUGAGAUUCCGAUGGGAGCUGCUGAGAUGCUGAUGCUACCAUUUAAACGUUUAGUUAUCGCUGUUUGAACAUAUUAUUAUUAUUUUUUAUUUUGUAUUAUUAUUUUAUUUUUUUGGAAAUAAAAUAAUUUAAUUCUUUUGAGUUUCCUAGCGUUAUUUCUCUUUCUCACCUUUUCUUUUAUUUUAUUCUAAUUAUUUUGGAAGGCAGUUGGAUUGCAGGGUUCCCUUUGAAGUUAGGAUAGAAUAUAUAUAAUAUAGAGAGAGAGAGAGUUGGGUUGAAAUACUAUCAAUAGUAUUUUAGAUUUUUUUACUAUUGAAUUAUACCUCUUAUUCUAUUGUAUUUUCAUCAAAUAGGGGGCAGAAAGACUAUGGAAAAUAGUGGUUCAAUUCGAUGGUGGUUCAAUUCGAUGUUGUCUAACGAGAAGUUAGAGCAUAGGUAUGGUUUAAGUAAAUCGAUGGAAAGUCUUGAUGCUAUUGGCCAUACCAGUGGAAGUGAUGAACCCCUUAUAAAUGAUAAGGAGAAAAAUUAGAGUGAUAGUAGUCCUACUAGCACAGUAAUCUUAUUCUAUAUAUAUAUUAUAUUAUUCUUUUUUUUUCUUCUUCUUUUUUUUAAUUAAACAGGAAUAUACCCUAUUUGAAAUAUAUUAUAAAUAUAUUAUAUUAUUCUUAUGAUAAAUAAUGUCAACUUGCGACAAACGAUCAUGAGAAAAGGCAAGGCACAAUGUCUAGGUCAAGUAGAAAAUUAUUGCAAAACCAAGUAGUAUUAAAAUUAUAUUAUCAGAAAAUUAAACAAAUCAUCUGGGUUAGGUGAUUGACCUAUGGUCGAAAGCGAACGGUUAAUUUCUUGCUGCUUAAUCUAAACCCAUGGAAUCAUCGCUCACAAUGGAAGAAUAAAAAGAAACAGAGGAGUUUCUAAUAAAAGUAGAAAAGAAGAAGCAGCAGCAGAAGCAGCAGCAGCAGCAGCAGCAGAAGAGAAAGAGAAAGAGAAAGAAAUGGAGGGGCUAAGAGGGAUUCCUUCACUACUCGGAUCACGAGGAGAAGAUGGGGAAGAGCACAUAGCCUCUAACAUCACUGAGGUUUCCAUAAAUCUCUUUGCUAAUCAAACCUUUCUCGUCUCUUUUCAUCUAUUUGUAACAGGGGAAAGGCCACCAUUUUGUGCUGUCUCCUUUGGCAUUGGUUUAAACUGGAAGGAACACUAAUCUCUAGUUGACAGGUUUAUAACACAAAAUAGAGUCUCGACCUGUGUAUAAUCUGAGGGUAGUUUGGGACCGAGCAUUUAAACAUACGUGGUAUCAGAGCAUUUAAACAUACAUGUUACCAAGUGAAUGAAUUGACCAAAAGUUCUUGAUAAUCAUGAUAUUUAGGAUCUCACGCAACUAACAACCGGCACCAGGCCUCUUGAAUUGUACCUCUUAUUUUGAGCUGCUCUAUUACUGUUAGGAAACCUUGUAGUUUCGUAGUUGAAAUGUUUGGCCUUAAUAAACAAUCUUAAGAGUCUAGUGUUCAAUCUAUUAAGUUAUUUCAAGAUGCGGGGAAAUUAAUAUAUCUAUUUAUGCAUUUUUGUUUUGAAGUGAUGAAUCAUCUCACAGGGAAGAAAGAAAAGAAAAGAAAAGAAAAAAAAAAAAUCAUCUAUCAUGGAACGAGUAAUGACCAUUUUAUUUAUCUAUCAUGAAAAAUCAGUCUCUCAAAUGGAGAAAACUGAACCACACAUGCUAUCUUAUUCAGCUGAUAGGUUGGACGCCACUUAUUGAACUAAAACGGAUCGCGAAUAAGGACGGAAUAAAUGCCCGAGUGAUCGGAAAGUUCGAAUCAUAUCAACCCCUUUCCUCCGUUAAGGACCGAAGUGCUCUCAGGUCGGUGAGUGGAUAUUGUACCAUUUCCUGUUAAUGCUUCUUAUCACCAUUUUGUAUUCAAUUUUACCCGCGCAAGGUUGUUCGACCUCAGACAAUGUGAUAAAGCUGAAUUGCUAAUAUAUAAGUAGCAUCUGCAUGCAUUUUGAAACAUUUCUUUUUACUAAAUAGAACCAUAAGUGAUGUUGAUGCAUUGCUUCCUUCUUUUUUUUUCCCUUUUUUUGGCGAGUGUAGAAUGAUAGAAGAUGCAGAGGAGAAAGGGCUUAUCUCACCUGGCGUUACAACGUUGGUUGAGUCCACAAGUGGUAAUCUUGGGAUUGGUCUAAUGUACAUCGCUCUUCAGAAAGGUUACAAGUUUAUUGCAGUUACGUUUGCUAAGCUUUCACUGGACAAGCAGAUUCUGUUGAAAUAUUUGGGUGCCGAAGUGUCAUUAACUGGUAUGAAAGUAAUAUGCAUUCUUUGUUAUUUAAAUUUUGUUCAUGUUUCAACUUUUCUUUUUGAUUAGAAGAAAAACAGUUAACUUGAUAAAAGAAAGUUCUUUCCUGGGCAGGAUCUAUCAAAUAUUAUUGUUAUUUAAUCCUUUUUUUUAUCUGCUAGAUUUUACAGCUCUCCAUAUUAUGUGCAUUAUCUUUAUUUAUGAUUAUGAAUAUGGCGUUUCUUUGUCGUUUGAUGUCUCCUAAUUGCAUUACUGACGAGAGUUAUAUCUCGAAUUUGCCCCUUUGCAGAUCCUGCACUUGGAUUCAAGGGGAUAUUUGAUAGAAUAGAAGAGCUGAAAAAGGAAAUACCUAAUGUUCAUGUUCUCAAUCAGUUCACUAAUCCAGCAAAUCCGGAAGCCCACUUCAGAUGGACUGGUAUAUAUUUAUCCAUAAAUAAUGUAUCAUGCUGAAACUUAUGCCUCGAAUGAUCGACAGAUUAGAAAACUAAGUCAAUCGUUAUGAAUUACAUCGGUAACUACGGGUUUGAUGAAUUUAUUGUGUGGAUACUUGGAAAUAAAGUUUUUAUCUUAAUUCGCAGUACAGUUCUAUAGGAACAUCAGUACAGAUAAUAAAAAAAGGAUAAACAACAUUCUAGUUAUGUGAAUUAUAAACAGCUCACUUUCCUUGUUUUUCUGUGGUAUGAAAAAUUGUGACCUAAUAUGAAUGUUCGCAGCUUGUUAAUUUGAUCCGUUACUCGUCCUGAAUACAAAUGAAAUAAUUGAGUUAAGACUUUCUUCUAAGGUUUCCACAUUUUAUUGUUUGCUAGAUAGAUUAAUAUGUCAAGAGCUAGUAAUGUUACUGGAAAUUACCUCGCUGCUCCUUAUGUAUCUAUUGCAGGGCCUGAGAUAUGGCACGACACGGCAGGCAAAGUGGACAUUUUUGUAGCCGGCGUUGGUUCAGGAGGCACUCUAUCCGGUGCAGGAAAGUAUCUGAAGAUGAAAAAUCCGGAUAUAAAGAUAAUAUGUGUCGAACCUGCAGAGAGUGCGGUAAUUUCAGGUAGGUAAUUCGAUUCAUGACAUCCAGUUCGACCUCUAUAAUAUGCAUUAAGUGAAUGUCCAACUUAAAAUAAGAUUGUUUCUAUAACAAACUGCAUUUUCAGGGGCAUCUCAGCCUCAUACUUCAAUAACAUCUUCAUAAUUAUGUAGGUGGUGAACCAGGUUCUCAUAAAAUCCAGGGUAUCGGGGCCGGUUUUAUUCCAGAAAAUGUGGAUACAUCCUGCAUUGAUGAGGUCGUUGCGGUGACCUCAGACGAAGCCAUGGCCAACGCAAGAAGGCUGGCAACGGAAGAAGGAUUGCUUGUCGGGAUAUCUUCAGGCGCGAAUGUAGCGGCUUGCUUAAAGGUAGUCUUUAGUUCAGGUCCGCGAAAAAAGGGACCUCUUUUUUUUUUUUUUUCUUUCGAAGAAUAAACAGUAGAAAUAUGAUUCAUGUAACAGGUAGCAGCUAGAGAAGAAAACAAAGGAAAAAUGAUUGUUACCAUGUUUCCGAGCGGUGGUGAAAGAUACGUAAACUCCGAACUCUUUGCGCAGGUGCGGGAGGAAUGUAUUAAUAUGACCUUUUGAUGUGUGUGUCAUGUGUAAUACCUAUAUCUAUAGUACUCUGCUUCGUUCUGAGGACAAUAAAAUUCUUAGAAGGGGUACCAAGAGUUCUGAUUCUUGCAUUAUUUUUCUGAAAGCAUGUAAUCUACUCUCAUGAAAUUUCUGUGGUGUUAUUGAGCGAGUAAAAUGGAUAUUCAGUAAACAUCCUAAUUACGUUCUUUGUUUUUUUUUUGUUUUCUUCUUCUGAAUGCAACCAAGUAAUUAUCUAAAUAAAAGGAAGUUUCGAAUUUGCUCAAAAAGCAGAUUACUUUUUUACCAAUUUUUUUUUUAAAAAAAUUAUUUUUUCUUUGUUAUUCGACUUGAUCAUAUCAAACCAAACCUGCAUAUGCUCUGGGUUGCGGUCUCAAUUAAACAGCUCCAAACACGUCUUGCUUUUCAUACGGCAUUAUGUUGGACUCGUCAUUAAAUGAGUUUGGGCUCGAGCUCAACUUAACCAUAUAAAUAAACAAGCUUGGCAUGAAUUUAUCUCAACUUGCUCGUGAGUCGUGAUCGGCUCGUUUAUCAAACGAAACCUCCCGCUAUGCUGACGUGGCGAGUACGCCGAUCCCGAUUAUGAUCCGUCUCCUCUAAAAAAACUCUCUUCUCAUAGAAGAAAAUUAAACUUUCGAUCCCCCACUCUCCCCCAAAAAUAAAAUAAAAUCAUAAUGGUGAAGAAACUCUCCGGCGAGAGGGAGUAUAAGGUCACGGUGGCGGUGACGAGACUCGAGGGUUUACCACCCUCGGGGGAGGCGACUACGACGAUAGCGGCGGUGGAGCUGCGAUGGAACCGGCCCAAUGCGGCGUCGACACGUGGCACGCUUCUCUCGUGCUUUGUAGGGAGUUGGGGGAGGAGGAGGAGGAGGAGGAGGAGCCGGUGCGUUUCCCCGGCGAGGCCGGUGGGAAACGACGGCGCGGUCGAGUGGGGAAACGGGGAGGCGAACCGGUUCGAAACCCUGUGGUGCUCUGGAUCGUGUGAAGAAGUCGGUAACGAGGCGGUUCCCGGCGCCGACUCCCGCUUUUCGUGGGACGUUUCCUUCUCCGUUCUCAUCGUGAGUUUCCGUUACCAUUCAAAAGUUAGAGAAUAUUAAUUUACAUCAUUUUCCUUACUAGAAAAAGAAGCCUAAUAAUAAUAGUAAACUGUUGUUUAAUUUUUUUUUCUUUUUCAGUUAUUCUAUUUUUUUCAUUAAUUGGUGUCAAGUUUAACAAAUCCUGUGUGUGAUUUAGAAGAUAAGUACCGUAAUUAUGUUUACUGAUCAACUCUGGUAGCACGGCUUAUCGAGUAAAUCCGUUUGCUUCCCUUUAUGAAGACAAAAUCUCUAGAUUACGUUGUUACAAUUUUAAUUUGUACUGCUUGUUGGUUGAACCUGGUCUACCAAGUCUUAAAGACCACCAAUAGUUUCUCGUCAACUAGUCAUCUGUUCGAAGGGACCGGGAACGAGAAUAAGUCAACGCGUGGAGACCAUGCAAUGAAAGGAACCCUCAUAGUACUUAGACUUAAAAUUUACUACAACCCCUCAUAGUAUUUACCAUUUAGACUUGUAAUUUUUUUCUUUUCGUGUGUGAGAGGAAAAGACAACAAAUUAUUAAUAUUUUUUAAAACUAGACUCAACUAUAAUGUGAAGCAACUAGAUUUUAAAUUUGGAACCUUAAAUACCAACCAUCGAGUCCUUAACAAACUAUAGUAGUUAUGGUCACUAACAAGUUAUGUAUAGUAGAUUGAGAUUAAUUUUUGUAGUUUUAUAUGUUUUUUCGAUUCUUAUUACAAGAGAUAGGUUCUUUUUACUUACUUUUAAAACAUAUGUACGUAUAUUAUAUCUAAAUAUUAAGGUUUUGACACUGUAGAGUCAUUUGGAAACGAUCAGUAUCUAAAUAGAUAAAUUGAUAGCACUAAACAUGAUUUAAGAAUUUAAUGUUAUGGCUUUUCAAUAUUAUUUGCCUCGUAAUCAAGCGUUCAGAAGGUUGGCACAAUAAUCUUGAAUCUGCAGGGAACCCGAAAGGAGGGAAAGCUAAAAGAGAGUAAACUAGAAGAGAUGGGUUCAACAAUGGUGAGCCUAGCAGAGUGGGCUAGGGCUUCUCAACCUAUAGGGAAUGAGCCCCUGCUCCAAACCCAUACUAAACUGGCCAUUGUCUUGGUCGAUAAAGGAUGUGUCACACUUCAUGUAAGUUAUCCUUUUCUCUAAUUCAUUUUUGGAUUUGGAAAUGUGUUGUCCAACAUUUAUUUUGAUGCUUUAAAGUCUUAGAAGAUUCCGUAAGCUUUUUAGAACUUUUUCCUCUAAUAUUGUGAAAUUGUGGUUAGAUGUAAGAAGAAGAGCUGUAAAGUGUUCUGAAUUGUUAAGACAUAAAGUAUUUAAGUAGGCGCUUUUGGACAUCACAUUUCUAAUUUAAAUCUCAGUGCUUGUUUGGCAUGGCUUGUAGGAUAACUUUUCAACUAUAAAAAAUAGAUGCUCAUUUUGUUGUGCAAAUAUGAAAUGUCCUUUCUCUCUCAAAAGCAGAGUUUUAAAGGUUCUGCUACAUCAAGAAGGGAUGGAAUGGAAUGGAUGUUGAUGAAAAAAUAUAUUAUGUUCCUUCAAACAGCUCUAUCAUUUGUUUACUAUUUUCAAUUCGUAUAAUCGGUUUGGUAUUGCAGGUAGCUGCAACCUUCAUGGAGGUAACCUCUCGUGAAGAAACUAAAGAAGCACCAUCCCUCAAAGAAAAAAUGACUAACAUCCGAGCUGCUAAAAGCCCAAGAUACUUUAGUUCAGAAACUUUGAAUUUAGAUCAGCUACUCCGGUUAGCCAAUGCAGAAAACAAGUUGGCUGUUUAUGGCACAAGAAAUCAAAACAUAUCUGAAAGCCUUAGAGAGAUGGAAAGAGAUACAGUAAGUGUUUAACCAAACAUGCACUAUUAGUUUUCACUAUAGUGUUGCUUUAUCAUUGAUUCGAUUAAUUCUUCGCCAUAUUUUUUUUUUUGUAGGUAAAUAGAUUAUCCGACUCAGACCUUGAAGAUGAUCCUAUUGGUUCCUGGAAAACCAAAGAGUUCAUCAGCAGAGACAAAAGAACAGAGCUCAAGACACCAAUCUUCUGCGCUUCCAUAGAUCAAAGAGAUGAAACAGCUGGUGGAGAAAGCGCUUGCACUGCUCUCGUCACAGUGUUUGCAAACUCUCUGCACCGUAAUCAACUUAACACACUGACCAAAUCAAAGUUCGAUGCACUCAUCAAAGAAGGAUCCUCAGAGUGGAGAAAGCUAUGUAAGAAUCCUUAUUACAAGGAGCGAUUUCCGAACAAGCGAAAAUAAGACCGAUAUAUAUAUAUAUAUAUAUAUAUAUAUAUAAUUAGGCUACUAUACUAUCUAUAGUACCGAGCUCCGGUACUAUAGUGUUGGUUUUCGAUCUUAGGGCAUUCAAAUCAACGAUCCACACCGUUAAAUAUGAUCUAGGGUAUAUGAAUUUCUUAAGAAUAAAAUUUUAAUUUUUUUCGAUAUUGUUUACUUAGUAAAUAAAUUAUAUCAAAAUGGACGGUGGAAAUUGAAUAAUCUUUAAAAUUUGAGCAUAGGACUUUUAAAUUCAAGAUCAAGAAUGUUAACCUUAAUCUAUAUAGUUUAAAGUAUUUUCUAUCAAAAUUUGAAGAAAUUUAGAUUCUUCUACACCGUUAAACUCCAAACUCGUCAUAAUAGCCAUUGAAAAUUGAUAAUUUUGAAAUAGUUUGAUCAUGAAAUAAACUAUGUCGAAAAAAUAUAAAAUUUUAUUUCUAGAAACUUUAAAUACCCAAGAUUAGUUUUAACGGUGUGGAUCGUUGAUUUGAACGCCCUAAGAUCGAAAACCAACACUAUAGUACCGGAGCUCGGUACUAUAGAUAGUAUAGUAGCUCAGCUCUCUCUCUCUCUCUCUCUCUCUCUCUCUCUCUCUCUAUAUAUAUAUAUAUAUAUCACCUCAAAUUAUUAUUUAACCCUUUUCUCAAAAAAAUAUUAUUUGAUAUGAAUUUAUUAUUAUUUUUUUUUGAGAGAGAUAGGGAGCAUGCUAUUUGUUUCGUUUAUUUCAUUUAGAAAUAAACUUAACUGAAAAUGUGAAUCAAUUAGGAUUCGAACUUGGAACCUCGGAUACCAACCAUCAAAAUCUUUACCGCUUGCCUUAGAGACGGUCAAUAUUUUUUGUAACCCUGACUAUGUAAUAAAAUUUGCGUCCUCUAACAUUUUAGUUAAUGCAGAUGAAAUGAACCUCAAAUGCACAACUUAAUGUUUUAGCACAUAUAUUUAACUUCUCUUUCCUCACGACAGAGAAAAGGAGGAAAAAAAAAAACCAAAAAAAUUGCUUGGAAAAUUUGAGCGAAUCUUGAAUUCAAGAAGGAGAACCUUUCAGUAAAAAUUAGUUAGCACUCGGCAAUUUAAGCUGUUUCGUUACCGACUUUGCAAAGCCACCGCAUUUGGCCCUUUUGCAAAUAAGGUCCAACAUUUUCUGAUUUUGUAAAAGGAUGGCGUUAUUUUUCGCUCUUCGCCUUUCAAGUUUCAACUUGCUAUGACCAAAAUACCCCUCCGCACCUACAAUUCUUCACUCUCUCGUCGAGCGACUCCGUCGAGGGAGGCGGAGCUCUGCGACGCUACUCGAAACCUUAACCCUAACCCUAAUCUCCGAACUCAAACCCUAACACCCUAAUCUCCCUCUUUGCCUUUCUCUCUCCCUUUCUCUCUUUCUUUGUCUAGCUAUUUUAAUUCAAUUCCUUUCUUUUUUUUUUCUCUCUUUUUAGUUGGUUCUUUUGUGCUCUUCUUUUGUAAAUCCAAAAGCUCUUUUUAACUACUCUACUUUUCAACAAGCACUCAUGUCCUACUCUUUUUUUUUCAAUUUAAAAUUAUAUUGGAAUUUCGUGCAUCAACCACUGUCCUUCCAAUAAGAGCUUCCUCUCUGGAUACUUAAACCAAAAAAAAAAAAAGAAAUCAGAAUCACAAGGUCCAAGUUUUUUUUUUUUUUUUUCUUAUAUCCUAUUUCUCACAAUAUGCAGCAAUUAUAGUUUUUUAGUAUGGAAAACGGUAGGUAGCAUCUUUAUACUAAUUGAAUAAUGUUAUUGGGUAGGUUUACAAGUCCUUUUAAAAAAAAAAAAAAAAAAUCAUAUUAAUAAUUUUUCAGGUAAGCUCAUAAAGGAGAAAAGGAGACCAAAUAAUGGAUGAUCUGAUGGAUGCUUGGUUGGAUUGAAUUGGUAAAAAGCUUCUUGACUUUUUGCACCUUCUAAUUGGAUUGAUUGUAUUUAUGUAGCAAAUAAAUGCAUAGAAAAAGAUAUUGGUUUUCAUUUAUAAAUAUAUUGUCUUAUUAGUUGUUGUAAUGAAAAUGACAUUUUUUUUGUGUAGUACAAUUUAUAUUAUUUAAUGUGGUUUCUUUCUGACUAUACGUGAUUGUUUACAAUGCCUUCUAUUUCACAUUGAUUUUGACAUUAUUAGUUUAUUACAUAUACAACCCAGAAAAAUAUCUACUCCGGCUAAGCCUUCAUCAAAAUAUUCAAGUUUGCAAGACCAUGAAUUUUUCAUAUGUGCAGUUAAAAAAUUCAGUUUUUUUCAUUAAUAAGGAAGGAAAAUCUAAAUUUUCUCACAUACUUUCAGUGAGAAAUUUUCUUUCAGGAAUGUACUUUUGUGAAAGAUUUUUCGAUUCUACUGGUUCUGCUUGAAAUUAUCUAAGUACUUAUAGAAGCUAAUUUUUCUAACAAAUAGUAAUAUUAUAUAAUCUUUUUAGUUGUACAUAUAUGUAAAUAUAACCCAUUUUGCUCAUUUUCUUAUGUCACUCUGUUCGUUAGGAUUUUUAUUUAUUCUGAGGUCACUAUCAGAUGAUGUAUAUAAAUUUUUCUCACCAACAAAAAGAAAAAAAAAAUCACUAUUUAUAACUAUCCGGCUGAUUGAAUAGCCAAAGGGAGACUAUAAUAUUCUUGAGUUUAUUAUCUAUUCUAAUAUCCAUUGACCCUUUUUUAUUUUUUUUGUAUUACUUGGUAAUCAUCAUAUAACCGCUUAUUUAACUCCGAUUAAUUCUGUUUUCAGAACGCCAAUAGUGAGAAGCAAUUGAUCAAAACUUGUCGAAUUUUUAAUAUAGUCACCAAAAAGGAAUCCUAGUGGUUGUAGGAGCCUGCAAGCAUUAAAACUCUCAAAAAUACUUGCCGUCGAGAAGUGAUCUAAAUCCAACAAUUAUAAAAUUCAGGAUCUGAAUGCUAUCCUCUCUUCAAUUUAUUGUAAUUAAUAGUUUUUUCACUUUCAAAAUUAGUUCAAAGUCCGUUAUGCGUUAUGUCAAGUCACAUACCAAUUAUCCAUAGAUAAAACUAUAUAAAAGCUUAUGCAGUAUCUGGUUAAAGAAGAAGAAGAUGAUAACAUUAAGAAAAAACUGAUGUCGGUAGGGCUAAUAUUACCUGCUAAUAAUAUUACCUUCUCAUAUUAGCAUGUCGUAUUAUGGUGUGGCAACACGGUAUUCUUAUAUUGUGCAAAAUAACUUAUUAGCACAUAACAUACUGUCACUAAAUUUAAUGAAUAUUCACAGAAUUGUGUAAUUAUAACGCAGCUUAAAGAUUAAUGAGCUGUUAAUUAUAAUAAAAUGAAAUUCUUAUUUUGUUUUUUGGAAGUCAUGAAUUUAAUUCUGAAAAAGAAAUGCCUAGAUCGAUUUCAACCAUUCUCACCUUCAAUGUUUAUUUAAACCCGGAAAUCUACGUAGCAGGGCAUUUGGCUCUUGCAAGAAAUAACCAUUUUAAGCCAUAUUCCUUCUUUAUACCAUGUAAGAUUAUAACCGUCCUCCUGAAUGGAGAGGUGAUACAGAAAUUAACAAUCUUCCUUUGUUAAAUAUUUACACUAUUGAAUGAUUCAGGCCCAUGACAUAAUAAUGCUUGACAUGUGCAACAUGUAGUUAUAUUAAAAUGCCAAUUUGGCCUCUCUUUAAGGGCAUGAUUUAUGUAUAUAAUAUCUGUUGGCUCAACUAGAAAACAGAGGUGGCUUUUGGCCAAGCCAACUCUCUCUUCUUCUUCUCCUUCUUCUUCUUCUUCUUCUUCUUCUUUUUUUGUUUCUUCAGAGGAACAGAAAGUGUAUGGGGACCUGUCAAUCUACUGAGUCUGUUGAGACGAAAGGAAAUCAUGAUCAGAAUGUAGUAUAUGUGGCGGAUGCAAACAGGCCAGGCUCGGAUGAGGAUGGAAGGCGGAGGAUCGCUUCUCUCUACUCGCAACGAGGAAAGAAAGGUCCGAACCAGGAUGCAGUCAUUCUCUGCCAGGUAUGUUAGCCUCCUGUAUUCCUCCAAAUCAUGUAGCAUUGGUUCAUAUCUGUAGCAUGUAUUGUGGCUUUGAUAAUAUAAAACUUUCUUUUGGACCAACUUUUGAUUGAAGAGUUUUCCCUAUCAAGCUCUUUUGAUUACUAGCAAGAUUUCUUUCUUGAUCAUGUACGGGCACCGAAGUUGUAAAAAAAGGAGCUUUCUGUUUCUUUCAAUUCAUGUUUAGGUAUUUCUAUAUCUCCAGGUCUUUUUUUUUAAGGAACGAGGAUGAAUCCAUAUUAUAUUAAAGAGUCUAGAAAGUUUUAUAUAUUAAUAUUAUUCCCAGUUUUCUAAAAAUUUAUCAUAAUAUGGAUUUCUUAAAUGAGUGAUUGAAUAUACUGAAUCAUAGUCUGACGGUCUAACAUUUUGAAUGCAUACGGUGGCUAUUCAUCUUAUGAACUCUUAGAUCUGAUGUAGUUUGAACUAAAGGGAUUUGGAGUUGAGUCUAAUACCAUAUUGUCUUAAGGAUUAUCUGAUAGGAAAUGACUUAGCAAAAAGAAAAAUUUAAGACCUUCAAAUAUUUACUUUGUCGUCAUGACCCAAAGUUCCUAUGGUAACAAAACGGGAAACUGCCUCUUAUGUUUCUAGAGUGAACAAUUAAAUUUUCUAAGAUUCUAUCAAAAGGUUGUGUGAGCGGACUUAAAUAAUAAGAAGUUUUACGAAGGAAUUGUAAUGCUUAUUGGAAAAGUUGGCAGUUUUUUGAAAAUCAAGUAAAACUCAGACUUGAAUAAAAAUUUCCCCUCUUAAAAGAAAAACAAAGUUUCUAUUUAUGAACAAUCAAUAUCAUCAUGUCUGCAAUUUUUUUUUUCUGCUGAAUUUUCUUUUUCUCUUUUGUCAUAAACCUUAAGAUUGUUUCCAGCUCCCUAUGAAUAGAUGCGUGCUACCAUUAAAUGAUGACUAAAGUCCCUACUCUUUGAUUAAGGGUUUUGGUAUGGAAGAUGGAGUGUUCUGUGGUGUAUUUGACGGACAUGGAAAAAACGGCCACAUGAUAAGCAAAAUAGUAAGGGAUUUCCUCCCUUGCCUGCUUCUUAGCCAACGAAACACCCUAAUGCUCUCCGACGAAGAUUCUGACUUCACUGAUAGCACUACCACCAGCCCGAAAGAUGAUAGUGAGGGCUCCCCAAUCUUGUCUCCCUUUCUAUUCGAGGAGUGGAAAGAGGCAUGCAUAAGCGCUUUCAAAGUCAUGGAUAAGGAGCUGAAGCUCCAAUCCAACUUAGAUUGCACUUUUAGUGGCACCACUGCGGUAUCUAUAAUCAAACAGGUAAAAUCAAAUGAUUUCCAUUGAUGUGCUUUAUCAAGUAGAAAUAGUUCAUUGACAAAGUUUCCGUGUUCACAAAUUGAAAAUAGGGAAAUUAUUUGAUCAUUGCUAACCUAGGGGAUUCAAGGGCAGUGAUGGGCACCAUCUCCGAAGAGGGUCACCUAGAAGCUAUACAGCUUACGACUGAUCUAAAGCCUAGCAUUCCUAGUAAGACUUCUCUUUCCGUUUGUAACAUUCUGAAAUUAUUACCCGAAGUCCCAAGUUCGAAUCCUAGUUGAUUCACAUUUCCAGCUAAGUUUAUUUCUAAAUGAAAUAAACGAAAUGGGUAGCGUGCUACCUAUCUCUCAAAAAAAAAAAAAAAAAAAACAUUCUAAAAUUGUUGCACGGAAAAUACGUCUGAGCCUUGAACAUUUCGCCUGAUCACAUAUCACCGCUCGAAUUCUACAUUUUAAAAUAAGACAUAAUGGUUAUCUUUUUUCAAUCGACAACCAGUCAUGUUUUUGUCAAUUUUUUUAUAAAAAUCAUGGGUUGCAUAAAAGUUAGAUCACUAAAAUUCCUGAGGCUCAAACUCAAACUUUUGAAUACCACGUGACAGUCAUUUGCUGAUGACCAUUUAUAGAAAUUUGGCAAUAAUAGGGCAUAUUGGUUUAUUAACUUAUCAAAGUCCGAGCAAUGAUAUCUUGUAAGGCUAGAUAUGAAGGGAGGGAUAUCUUUCUCAUUGUUGUGACAUUUAUGGAGGAUCUAUUUAGUUAUUUCUGGAAACUUGACAUGCAGAGGAAGCAGAGAGAAUAAGAAAAAGCAAAGGUCGAGUUUUCGCUCUACGUGAUGAGCCACACAUUCAACGGGUGUGGCUGCCACAUGAGAACUUCCCCGGCCUCGCCAUGGCCCGUUCUUUUGGAGAUUUCCAGCUGAAACACUACGGUGUGAUCUCAAUCCCUGAGGUCUCGCAUCAUCAGAUAUCAAGUAAAGACCAGUUCAUUGUUCUAGCAACUGACGGGGUACGUAUGAUAAAACAUGUUCCUCGAUAUCUUUAAAAUAUUUUUUCAUACUUCAUUUAAUCUAAUAUAUCAUGGGAAAGUUUGUAGGUCAUGUUCCUCGAUAUCUUUAAAAUAUUUUUUCAUACUUCAUUUAAUCUGAUAUAUCAUAGGAAAGUUUGUAGGUUUGGGAUGUUCUAAACAAUGAGGAAGUUGUAUCAAUAGUGUGGUCGAUUGAACGCAAAGAGGAUGCAGCAAAAGCACUUGUAGAGGCCGCAGUUCAUGCAUGGAAAAACAAGUUCCCGGCGUCAAGAAUAGAUGAUUGCUCUGCAGCUUGCCUCUUUUUACAAGAGGGGAGGCAGGGGAAAAAGUGAAUACAAUUGACUUCUAAGGGACUCUUUGUGGGAAAUUGUUUUCUAUAGGGAACUCAGUGAGAUUAUAUGUUAUCUAUUGUGUUUUGUACAAAUAGUUGAUAUUGUACUAAUUAAAGGCAAAUAUUCGGACCAAAGAGGAGAUCAUGAGAAGAGGGUGUUGUGUUAUGCUUAUAUGUGCACUAUACAAUUCAUUGUAUGACCACAUGAUGGAUUGAAAUUUUUUUGCUAAAUAUUGUGCAGUUGUUGAGCAGGAAGCGGUCUUAUAGCCUAUAAGGCCAAACAAUUAAUUUAUUUUAACAUGGCCUAAAUAAUGAUGGACUUUUGCAUAAUUCAUAAUUAAAUUGCAUCUUCCCAAUCCAUAAUAAAAGUUCACAUUAUUACUUUUUUUUUCACUGCUUAGUAGUAGAAAUAGUCAAAUAUAUUCAGUUGGGCUCAUUAUAUAGGGAACCUAUAGCCUAUUUUUUUUUGUAAAAACACACAACCAAAAAAUAAAAAUAAAAGCAAAACAUAAGAUUGCAAUCUUAACAUACUAACGUGGAGAUAUAUAUUCAUUAAUUUGAUAUAGACUUAAAUACAUGAGUCCAAACAUACAUGAGAUAUCAUCAAAUAAAAAAAAAUUGGCAACCACUGGAAUAGCGUAGAAGGUAUCCAAGUGUGGCUACCAAUAAAGUUCCUUACAGUGAACUUAGCGGCAUCGUCAAAUGAAUUUAUAAUUUUAUAUCUGGGCCAAGGCACUUGCUUGGUGGUGUUUGCACCUGGUUCUCGAUUUUGAAACUCUGAAUAGAAAAGUUUAUCUAGUGGCGAUGUGCUAUUCCACUCAAGCCACCCCGGACGGAUGGAUAAGAUUGUCGAUGAAGGAUUGCAUUAUAAUUGUCCUCGAGUAGGCUUCCAGGGAUGCCCAAAAAGUAAUAUAGUUCUUUACUGUCUUGAGAUCCGGUGUCACCAGCGUGGAACAAUUUUGAAGAAUGAAUCCUGUGUCUACAAAGGCUGUCUCGCUGCCUUGCGUUGUUGUGACAUUUUGUUGUCCUAGUAGCGAUUUUCUAGCCAGAAAUAUGCAACACUUAAAGAUAGCUUGCGUAUUUCCAAAUACAAAACUCACCUUCCUAUAAACUUUGCAUUCACGAUAGAGCUGAUGUCCUGAUUUUACAUAUAACGUGUCUGGCUGUCAAUAUAUAAUUAAUUGAAAUCAUGCAAAAUGAAUAUAAUUAAUUGAAAAUAAUUUGCUGGCUGUCUAUAUAUGCAUUUGUGUAUUAAUAUUGCUACAACUGAUUAUAGUGUUAUAUGGUAUGGUUGACCAUAGAAAUUAGAAAUCGGUAAAACUCCCCCUCAAAGUGGAGCAUGAGAAUUCGAAACACCCAACUUGGAUAGUCAAAAUCUAAACUUAUCUUUACCCAAUGCUUUGGUAAAAUUAUUAGUCAGUUGAUGAGUUUUUUGAACAAAAGCUGUGCAUAUUAUGUCGGAUUAGAUUUUUUCACAAAUGAGAUGGCAGUCGAUUUCAAUAUAUUUAGUAUGUUCAUGAAAAAUCUGAUUGGCUUGACCGUCGCAAUAAAGAACCAUAUUUGUUUUAUGAGAUAUACUAGGAUCUUGAAGAAUUACUUUAAGCCAUAAAAACUCACACCUACUAGUAGCCAUUGCAUAGUAUUCAGCUAGUGCUGAUGAUCGGGAAAAAGCCAAGAUAGGGGACUGUUUCUAAGCAUUGUGAAGUAACAAGUACAUUUUCGUGUCAUUGGACAAGAAUAGAGCCGAACUGGGCAAUAGGUCAGCCCGGCCUAGUCCGGAUAAAAUUGGGGCAGGGCCGUGUCGGGCCCAGCAAGACUCUCUGGCCCUGAUGUCAUGGGCAAUAUUUUAAAAAUAUUUUAAAUAUUUUAAAAAUAAAAAUUAAAUGGUUCUCUUUCGGCUAAUAUAUUAGAUAAAAAAGUUAUUAAAAUAUUUAUAAAUUAAUAAUUUUUUAAAAUAAUUUUAAAAUUUUAUAAAGCUUUGGAAUUUUUUAAAAAAUCUUUUUUUUAAGGGUUUUGUAAGCUCUUCAGGAUAUAGGGCAAUCUCCCCAGAAAGGCUAGGGCAUUCUGAUCACAUCCCUAAGCCCUUCUUUUUAUUAUUUAUGUGGACAAUCACAUUCUCUUGAUAUAUUCCCAAUUUUAUAUAGAUAACAUAUUUUUCACUAUUGAAAAAAAAAAAAAUUAUAUAGAUAACAUAUUUUUCACUAUUGAAAAAAAAAUUUGUAUAGAUAACAUAUUUUUCACUAUUGAAAAAAAAAAUUAUAUGGAUAACAUUUUUCACUAUUGAAAAAAAAAAUGUCGCCUGCACAAUAGAACUUAUGGUUUUGAAAUUUUCAUUACUGUCAUUGACCACAGUUGAAUGUGGGGUGAAAAUUAUUGCACCAGAAGCAUGUUGAAAUGAGAGAGAAUCAAGUAACAACGAUAGAACAAGUAUGAUGACCACAAUAAUGAAAAAACUAAGUUAGAAGACUCUUUCUUUGAUUUACAACAAGCUGCUUUGAAACCAAAUUAUUAAGGAGAAAGCUAAAUAAAAAUAACAUUGGCAUGAUCAUGCCAAUUUCAAACUACAAUGUUGUUCACUAAAAUUGAUCAUAGUUUGUAUAAUGUUCCUGUCACUUUUAUAUCUCUUAAUUUUAUGUAAAAAAUAUUAUUGUCAUUUCUAUUUAAUCUAAAAAAUAUAUAUAAAUAUGGUUUCAAUUAAAUUUCUAAUUUUUGAAAUUAGAAAAUAUUCUGUUCUACUCCUUGAAAUUCAAACUUUAGAGACAUGAAUUUUUAGACUAUUAUGAAAGCACUUAUACUUCUUGGAGAUAAACUUAUUGCAAUGCAUACUUCACACUUUCAUAAAUGAACUUCAUUUAAUAGAAUUUACUUCAUUAAGCAAUGAGAGUCUAUACAAAAAGAAUGAAUACUUAUGGCUUAGAAAGGGGUUACCAAUUAUUGAAACUCAAAAAAGGAAAAAAAAUAAUUCUUUUUAAUUGAAAAGAAAGGUUUAAAUAUGAUAUGCUUUGCCAACUAAAGAAAAAAUGUCUAAUAUUAGAGUCUAUGAUUAUGUUCUUUAUAAAUUUGAAAGAUAUUUAUUCAGUUUCAGUCACUUACGAUUCAAAGUUUCAAAGUUUUAAUUAGUCUUGUAGACAUGUAGAAUAUGAUUGAAAUAACUAAAUUAUCCACUUUAUGAUUGAAAAAAUUAAAUAAUCCACUUUCUUCUAUACAGUCAUAAAAUUAAGCUUUUUAAACUUUACUUUCUCAUUGGAAUAUACUAAACUUCAAUCAAUCAAACAGCACCUUGCAGACAAUUAAAUUUUUUUUUAUAGAACAAAAAUUUGAUGGGAACAGUUCCCCACAUGACACCACUCCAUCCACAAUCCAUUAUAUGCAUGAACAUGAAUCUUAAAAUUGUGUAAAACACAAAUGAGACGAUUUUCACAUUUGACUAUUCCCAUCAACAUUCUUUUACCGCCAUCAACGUAGCAUUAUUUGGAUCCUCUACUAAACUUGAUUUGUAGAAGAUGAAUAUCACUAAUUAAAAAUAAUUUUCUGGCUGUUCAUAUAUCCAUUUGUGCAUUUGAGAAAUAAAUUGAUGAUAUUACUAUAACUGGUUAUAAUGGGUAGAUUGGUUUAUUAACUUACCAAAAUCUAACAAUGAUUUUUGUAAAGCUAGAUAUAAUGGGCAUUAGGUAUAUUUUUUUUUCAUUGUCAAUAUGUUUGUGAAAAAAAUUGUUAAAUGUUUCAUUAUUACGAUGUUUGUGGAAGAAAUUUUUAGUUAUUUCUAGAAACUUGGCAUGUAGAGGAAGUGGAGAGAAUUAGAAAAAGCAAAGGCUGAGUUUUCACUCUACAUGAUAAAGCACACAUUUAAUAGGCUUGGCUGCCACAUAAGAACUUCUCGGGCCUCGACAUGGCUCUUUUAUUAUUGGAUAACAAGUAAAAACCAGUUCACUAUUUUAGAAAAUAUUUGUGUUUUCCAUAAAUUUCAGAUUUGUUAUAAACUAUUGUUUAUUUACAUUACAAAUAUAUUUAUUUAUAUUUUAAUGAAUUAUAUUACAAUUAUUUAUUACAAAUAUAUAUUAUAUUUGUAAUAUAUAUUACAAAUAUAUAAUAUAUAUAUCAUAAAUGAAUGAUUGUAUUAUAAUUGUUCUUGAGUAGGGCUUCCAGUAUUGCGCAAGAAAUGAUUGGAUGGAAUAUUUGACCGGUUCAAUAUUCAAUGUUGCUAAUAUUAUAUAAUUUUGGAGAACAAUCUCGUGGGUAUAUCAGCUUUUUCUCUUUUUUUUUCAUAUUUAAUCUAUCUUACUAAUAGUUUUUUGGUUAGAAAAUUGUAAGUCUGAAAAAUAGUUUGUGCGUUUCCAAAUACGAAAUCGACAGUUCCAUAAACAUCAGAUACACAAUAUAACUAUUUAUUUACAUAACAAAUAUAUAUAUUUAUUUAUAGUUAUAAUACAUAUUAGGUUACUCCUACACUUCAUUUUUUUAAAUAUUGUUCAUUUUUUAUUAUUUUAUUGGUCUAAAUUGAAUCUUUUUUUGGCUGUGACCUAUAAUAACAUAUUAUUUGAAAAAUAGUAUAUUAAAAGAGAAUUUUUUUUUCUUUCUGGGUAAUUAUAUCAUUUUAUUAUUUUCUCUCCUCUUUGUUAGCUAAAUUGGUUUCAUCUAGAUUUAUAAACUUUACUAUUAAAUCUCUAUGUUCCCAAUUUUGUUUAGUCUAUAAAUUCUACGAUCAAGAUUUAUUAUAAACUUAAAAUUUAAAUUGUACAAUCUAGAUUUAUACCAAUUUUAAAUUCAAGAGUGCCAGUGUGAUCAGUAGGUACACCGCCAUCCACGCUUCUAUUCGAUGAAAUCAUUGUUUUGUCAGCUCCAUCUCCAAGAAGCACAAUGUUCUUCUUAGUUACGUCGACAAUCACAUUUUCUUGAUAAACUCCUGCUUUUAUAUAGAUGACGUAUUUUUCGCUGCUGAAAGAAGGUGCUGCCUGCACAGCAGCACUUAUGGUGGUGAAAUUUCCGUUACCAUCGUUGGCCACCGUUGAAUUUGGGGCGAAAAUUGUUGUACCAGAAGCGUGUUGAGAUGAGAGGGAAGCAAGUAAACAAGCAUGGUGGCCAUGAUAAUUAAAAGAAACUAAGUUAGAAGACUUUCUUUGAUUCAUAUGCUCUGAAACUAAACUAUUAAAGAGAUCAAGCUGAACCAAAAACAACAUUCUCAUAAUCAUGCCAAUUUCAAAUUACAAUCUUUUUCACUAAAAUUGCUCAUGGUUUAUAUGAUGUUCCUUUCAUUCUGAUAUCUUUUAAUUUCAUGUCAGAAUAAUUAUUGCCAUUUCUAUUCACUCUAAAAGAAGCUUAUCUGAAAUUAGAAGAUAUAGUGUUCUAAUUUGUGUAAUUCUCAAUCAUGGAGAUCCUUCAUCUAUUGGAGAAAGUCUUCUCAAUCAUGUUGCUCCAUAUUAGAAUUGAAUCAACAAAUUAAAAGUGUCAAUAUUGGAUAAAAAUAUAAAAAUUAGUUUUUAAAAAUAUUAUUUUAAUAAAAAAUUAUUAUAGUGUUCUUGAUUACAUCUUCUAUUGUUGCACAUAACACAAUGUAGUUUGUUUGGAGUUUACUUUGCAUAGUAUAAGUGGUACAAAGAUGACUUUUCCAACUAAUAGGUUAUUUUAAAACUAGCCUUUAUCUGUUUUUUUUUCCAUGCCCAUUAUAGUGGUUAAAUUUAAUAGCUCUAAUAGUUAUUGGCUUGUAAGUACUACAUUUUUAUUUGCUAAAAUGUAUUUUUAAACUAUUAAAAUCUAAUGGAGUUAUUGAUAAAUUUAAAAGAUUUCAAUAAAUAGGACCAAAAUUGUGUAAUUUUGAAGAAAAUAAUAGUAAACAAAUUGUCAAUAUAAGAAAAAAAAUUAGGUUGAGAGGGCCAAGGCAAGAUGGCUAUAGUUGAUUGGCCUUAGUAUCAAGUUAUCAACUGUCACCUCACUUUUCAGAAUGAUCAUUCAUUCUAGAACUACUUUAAGCUCUAACACGCUAAGCCCUCUUAAUCUUUUAUGCCCAGCCAGGUAUAGCCAAAUUAAAAAAUUUAGUAAUAUUACACUUUAUAUAUAGAAUAAGAAAAUUAAGCGUAUCAAAACUAGAGUAAUUUUAGAAUAGAUUAUCUUCCAGAAAAAUAGGGCAUCACGGUAAAUAUAAAAUGUAAGGACACUAAAUGAUUGUUGGGUUGCAUAUAAUUAAAAUUGUACUAGUCGUAAUUUUAUACAGAUCUAAAUUGAGUGUUUUGUUAAAUAUAUUUAAAUCCGAUGUGAGAAAGCCCAACUAUAACAAUUGGAGAGAAAAACUUCCAAUAAAACAUAAGUUUAACUUGCUCAUCACUUUUCAAACAAUUUUUUUUUCCUAUAUAGGAAGUAGUCUCACUACCACAUACAAAAAGUGAUAAAAUUUUAAAAAUACACUUAUCAACUAUAUGCUGCCAAAUAAUUUUUUUAUUAUUACAAUACUAUAUACUAUAUUCAAUCAAACAAGAUACAUGAAAUUAAUUUUUCUGGAAUAUUAAAUCAUAAAUUAUAAAUUCUACCAAAAAAAUUGUAAUUUUUGAUUAAUCAUAAAUAUGCACAAACUUUAAAUUCCCAAUAUUUGAAACUUAUUUAUAAGUUAGUCCAACUUAUUUGUUUUUUUUUUUUUUUCUGUGUGCGUGUCCUAAAAGUGCUAAAGAAAUUUUAGUGAUUAUUUUUCCUGUUCUGCCUUCAGCCAUAUACUGAAAAGGAAAUAUAACUACGGUAAGAAGAAAUCCGCGCGUCCACAUUAAAUUGCACAACAAAUUUAGAAAAACUGGAAUAUUUUGAUUCCUCGGAUUCCAAAAGUGCUCAACAAAUGAGUGAUAGAAAGGACCAGUAUCUAUCUCGGUUUAUUAGCAACUUAAUUCCUUUCAAUAAACUCCUUUCGGAAGACCCAAAAAAAACAAAAACGAGAACAAGUGUUUUAGUACUUGGCUCAAGCAGCCUUUCGAACUCGAAAGAAAUAUUGCACAGAUACUUUGCGAUUUGGUUCUUUUGGAUGAGCGGUGAUUUGACAGGUUGAAACCGUGGCUCAUUGAAGGUGUCCUCGCACGUGGUCACGUCGUCGAAUGCAGACUGCAGUGCAGAAAUACCAUCGAAAUAAUUCUUCUCGGCCAAAUACUGGAUUGCGGAUUGCAGAUGGGACACUGCCAGAUAGUACUCAGUCUCGCAGCUGAGCAGGCAGGCCAUCAUCGCGGCAUCGUACAUCUUCUUGACGGCAGCAUAAGUGCCGAAGGCGUUCGCGAGGGCAUGGUCAAUGGAGAUGUUGGUGAGGAGGAAGAGGACGGCGUCGGCGGUGCGCGGAUCGGAGGACAUAGACGAGACGUAGAAAGUGUAGUUCGGGGAAUCUCUGCAUCCCUUCUUGAUCAACUCUAUGCCUUUCAAUUCAGCUUCACCUGCAGUUGUUGCCUUUGGCGAUGGCGCGGAUGAUGCCGUCAGUGACAGAGAGAGACACGCAAGAAGCAGCAACGACACGACUGCAAACGCUGCCUUUGUUUUCUCCUCUCGGAUCAACUGGAAGUUUUAGAGAGAGCCCACCAGAGGUGGAGAAUCUAUCUAUAUAAUAUUAACAUAGUUUAAUUUAGGAAGGAAGGAAACUAAUAAGGAAAGAAAUAUUACAUUUUAAGGAAACUAAUUAAGAAAGAUAUAUAUAUUACAUUUAAGGCUCACAUUUACGAUGCGUUAGCGUUAGUAGGAAAGAUUCCCGGACAACCUACUUGACCAUAUAAGGCCGCAACUUUUCAGCUGUAAAUUUUGAUGAUUUGGAUUGAAAGUAAUAAGGGAUUGAAAUUACGCAAGGGGUUCAACCCCUCUCAACAGCCUUAUACUAGAAAGCAUCUUUAGGAAAUUUUUAAUUCAUACAGUGCAGCUAUGAUGUAACUUUGUAAAAGUAACCAAGUAACCAGAAACAUCUUUCUGCUAGUAAGUUCGUUCCUUGCACAGAAACAUGCCACAACCUAAGAGUGGCCCGCGCCAUCCCAACAUUUCACUUCACAAGAACUUCUGUGCUCGCUAAACUUCGCAUUUACAGCAGCAUAUGAAGAAAGAAAGGAAUUGAAAGAAAGGUAAAUAGGGGGUAAUUCACAGAUUCGGUUAACAAAAUAGGUCUCACAUUCAUCAUUACUCGGUUGAUAAAAGUAAAACCAACUAACAUUACAUUAACUCUGAACUAAAAUAAACUGCAAGUACACAAAUAAUGAGCACAAACAACAGGGAGCUUCCGUUCCUACUUUAUUGUAACAUUUAUAUAAAUGAAAAACAGCCAUGGAUAAACAACUAAUUAGAGUAACUACAACUAGAUCAUAAUCCAAAGAUCGAUGAGCCACUGGCAUUAAAAUGAAUAAGAUAUAUGGUUAGCACAUGAUAGGUGAAAAAAGAACAACAAAAACAAAUAACAAUAAUUCGCACAAGCCUCGGCACGCAGAGAUAUACGCACCCAUUGCCCUUACAUGGCCGGAUUAGAUGAAGAAAAAGCCCUUCUGUAAUCUUUCUACUAAGUCCUCGAACUUCUGUUGAAUUUGCGGUAGGAGAGCUGCAAAUCACACUUUGGGACCUAGAAUUUGGCAUGAUUAGAAAAUGGUUGUCUUGCACUUCUACAAAAGAAUAGGAGAGAACUGGUCAACGCAUAAAGGAAAGAGAGUCGAUUUCCUUAUAGACUCCGAAGGCCUCUUCUGGCCCCAAAGGGGAAAGCAUUGUCGUGUGGAUCGAUAUCGAUAACACAAACCUCCUGCACCCAUCUUGCUGGUUGCAUGUGAAAAGCCAAAAUAUUCCACAAGAAGCACACCCGAAAGGAGAAAAAUUGCCAAGGCUUUUACUUCUAGUCCUUUCUCUAUGCAUAAUACAUAUACAAGCUGUUAGCAGCAGCACAAGCUAUUGAAUUUUCAGAGGGGUGCCAAGCUAAAUGCAGUAACUUGGUCGUGAAAUCAUAGGAAUUUCCAUUGGCAUCGACUCCUGGAGUUUCUGAGCCUGUGGAGAUUCAUGGAAAUUAUGAGGUUGGGUAAAAUAGAAAAAUAAGUUAUUUUUUUAACAGCACUUGCACUUCACAAGUGGCUUAUAGAAUUAAAUCUAAGGAAAUUAAAUGUUUGGGUUCAUUACAAAUUGAGUCCCUAUUUGAUUUCAAAUUCAUCAUCAUUGUUUUAAAUUCUUCUGUUAGUCUACCGUCUGAAUAACGCACCAUGUCAGAAGAGUCUUUAAAUUUUACUGCAUGAUUUCACUCCCUUUGUUAGUCUACCAUCUUAAGUUUGGCAUUGAUUAUAAUCCUCUUGUUAGUCUACCAUCUGAAAUUUGGAGGAAAUUGACAUCAAUGUCAAACUUCAGGUAGCAAAUUGGUAAAUUUGAGAUCAAACUUCAGGGACUGAAUUGUUAUAACUAAAACUCCAACAAUGAGAUUGAAAUCCAGAUCAAACUUGAAGGACUAAAAUUAUAAAGAAUCCAAAAUUUUCAUAUGAAAACUGACUUCGUCGGACAGCACGAGUCAAACUGCUUAAAGCUCUCGCGGGCCUAGUUGGAUUUGGAACCUGACGCCUGCAUGGUUAGAUACCAAGUAAAAGAAAGAUUAGACAAGUUUUAAUAUAACACUUCUUCGCAGCUCCAAUACUAACAAGACGACCAAAAGUUCAUAAUUUUGAAUUAUUAUUGAUUUGAAAACUAAAAAAGGAUUAAAACUUUUUAUCAGUGUAGCAUACCUCAUUGGGUUUUUACUUGCUUCCAAAGUUGUUGCCUCAGUGUUUGCAGGAGUACAACCAAAUAUACGAAAUAGAUUACUGGAUAUGAACAAAAAUUAUAGCGGUUAGAUAUGCAACAUAAAGCUUUUCAGCAGACAACAAGAGGUCAAAAGAAUACCUAUAAGAACCAGUAGCAACCCGAAGACCAUCUCCACUCAGACAGCACUCAAAUUUGUCAAAGAUUGAAUCAUUCUCGUAUAAAUCACAUAGCUGCAGAUUAUACAAAAUAUCAAACCUCUGACCAGAAUAUAUCCAUGACAUUCUCAAUGCUAACUUUAUAGAUUAGAUCAAAGUCACCAAAACGAGAGACCUUCACCUUAGGCCUUAAAUAUUCAUGGACCUGGAAAGUUGCAACAGGACCCGAAUCCAUAUUUAAAUCCCAUAGCUGCCAAGACACAACAAGGAAAGGAAAAAAAAAAUCAGAUACAGCAAACACUAUAUAAAGGAAACUCGAGCAAGAAUCAUCAGUGAGUGAUCUAGACAUUCAUAAAUUAGAAACCAAAAAAAUUGGAAUUCUAAUAAAUUUCAACGUCUUUAUGCUGACCGUUUAUUUAUUUAUUAAGACCUCAAUGCAUUAAUUUCUUUGCUUGACAUUCGUUUUUUCAAUUAUCUUGGCUUUCUAUGGAAUUUCAAACAAGAACACAUAAACAAGAAUGAAAACUGCAUGAGGCCAAAGUAUCAGCUGCAAAUUUUUUUUUGCUAACCAUAGAGCUAAGGUAACCAAAAUUUCAAAAUUUAAAACGAGUAGAAGUGUAACAAUAUGGACAAAAUGAAAGGAAUGAACCUUAAGUGUCAUAUAAUCACGACUAAGAAUGUGCCUUCCAUCCUUUGCAAACUUUAUAUCUGAAAUGGAGGCAAUUAUCUCUGUGAAGAAAGAUCUUGAUCCGGGUGCCUCAUGCUCCUCAAACCUGUGAAGGAAAUAACUAGCUAUUACAAUAAAAAAAAGAAGGUAAAUUUGAACAGGUUUGUAGAGAAUUCUAAAAAAGAAAAAUAUGGUGUACUAGUAAAAUUACUGAGAAUAGAUGUAUAUGGGAAACUACUAACAGCUUAGAAUGGUUAUCACAUAAUGCCGACUGCCGCAGAUCAAUAAGCCGGAUAGAGCCCUUUGAGCUACUAUAUGCCAACAUAUUACAGUGGUGUGGGUGAAAUUCAGCACAUGUUAUCACCUCUGAAAUAGAGACAAGAAUUACUGCUAAAUAAUGUAUGACCACAAAUAAAAAGCACCAUUUGAACCAAAGGAAUUUUAAGAGUAGCAUUUCGGUUAGCUAAAUUUUAAAAUAAAAAAAAAAACUACAUUUGAACUUAAUAUUUGGUGUUCAUGACACUUUCAGCCUAGAAUGCUAUCAUCAAACGACUUACAACCACCAUAAAAGAAAAUACCUGUUAGGUCCUCCAUAUUUGCAGGCUUCACGUCAACAAUAUUAAAGCUCUGGUUGCUAAUUUCCAAGUUCCAUAAAUUUAUUCGAAGAUCGUCUGCUGAUAUGAAUGUCUCACCGUCACUAUAAAGGACAAAACAAGAAUGAGAGAAUACCAUUGAAUAAAUGUGUAACAAUAAAUUUUUGCAACAAUAUUCCAAUAAAGAUUGCAAAGAACUUCAUGGCACCAGAAUCACCAAAAACGCAGAUAGCAUAAAGCUUAUUUUUGCAGCUAAUAGUCUCCGCAAGAAGUUGCCAUCUUAUAUUGCCACAGAAUAAAAGGCACAAUUUUUUGAAUAGCACCAAUGCAAAACAUAGGAUGAAAAACUGAAUUGGCUGCACCAGCAUGAGAAGUUAGUUUCUGCAAGCGAUAGAGUGAUAGACUCAAAAAGUUUCUUAAUUACUGGAUAUUAGAGGGUCAAUAAAGCUCAGAAAUUGAAGUUUUGUUCAAAACUGGAUGCCCUAAGAGAAUUGGUGAACUAGUAUUCCAGCCAACACCUUGAAAAGUGCUAUCUCUUAGUUAUCCUGAAAUACCUCCACUUACUGCAUAACCCCAACAUGUCGUUAAUAAUAGAAAAAGGGAAUCCAGACAAUCCAACCAGAAAAUUCUAAAAUACUACUGGAGAAAACCUUGAAGCAAGUAGAUAACAGAGGAACAAUUAAAACUUUGAAGCAAGUGGGUAAAAGAGGAACUAUCAAAAUUAUCACUCGAGAAAAUCAAGGCUAAACCAAGUAGAGUGAUGACGUUUAAUAGUAAAAAAAUAUGGACCAACCUGUUAUUUGAUACAGAAUUAAUAUGGUAAUCAUGAGCAUGAGCAUAUACUCGGCGGCAUCUAGCAACAAGAUUUGUCUCCUGGCCCGUCACCUAGAUGUACAAGCAGCACAUAUUAGAAAGUUGUCAAACAACAAUAUCAUAUGGCAAUAUGCUGUAAAAUGAGUUGCUUAUUCCUAAUUAAGCGUCGCUGACAGACAAAAGUUUAGCCUGGAUUUGGUGCAGCAUUGAGCACUUGUGUGAAAGAUUCAAAAUUACAAAUGUAAACAGUUGGACGUGAUUUUAAACAUUUAAAAACAUUUAAAUUCACAAGUUCCCCACACUUAUUUCUUAUGUCAAACGAUCGUCCUUUCUAUGCUGCUGAGUUUUCGGAUUACUUUGUGCAUAGGUGAUAGUACCCUGAAACUUAUCAUUAUUAAUUGUAGGUUUUUAGAUGCUGUUAAUCACAUUGAAUGGUGUACAUUUGAUUUAGAUCCUCUAUCAUUAAAUAUAAAUAUAGUGGGCAUUCUCGAGGACGUGAGGGGCUAGGUCCAGGCAAUUAUUUAUAAACUAACAGAUUGGGGUAGGUACAACUACCACAGGCAAACGCAGCGAUGGACCUCCAGUUUCAGAAGUGUCCAUAUUCAACGUAGCGAUCCGUUUCACCUUCUUCUCUUGUACCUGUACAAGUUUAAGAUACACGAUGAGCAUAACUAAGCUUUCAAAAAUUUAAGGCAUGAGAAGAAUUAAAUUAGAGAUAGAAAACAUUCAAUGAACGAACUGUAGAAAUAAAAAGAGAAAAAAUAACCAGUACUUUUAGGUUGAAACAGAGCCAAUGGAUAUUGUGGAACAUUAAGGGCAAAACAUGUUAACCAUUGGGAAACUAUAAACCUUGCACAGAAAUAAUGCCUGGAAAUUUGAUAAAUGACAUGAAAGAUGAGAACUAUCAUUCCUGAUAAGCUGCAUCAAUUGCACUUCAAAUCCAUAAGAACCAAUAUAGAGCAUUAACUCUUAACUAAAGAUACUCUACAAGGGACUAGGCCAACAAGGAGGCUUAUACUUUCUGCAAUUACUAAGGUCAAUGGAACCGAGUGAAGUUCUAAAGGAGCUUAGAAACAGGAAAUAACAAAUCUGACACAGGGUUUUGCACUCAUCUCUUAGGUAAAAUAAAUCAAAAGACCAGCCAAGAUGAUGUUCUGUACAUAAGAGGUGUCUAAAGAGAUGACACCAACAUCUAAGAAAGCUCGUAGCUAUCCAGGUAUAAAUCAUUGGUAACUUCAACUAUUCUCCUGCAUAACAAUACAUGUACUAGAGAUAGUUCUGGAGAUAUGUUAGAAGCAUAGUUGGAAGACAAAUAAUGCAGUUUUAAGUUCUACAUGGUAAGGCAAUCUGGAAAAAGUCCAGCAUCAGUUGCACAUCUGAUAUAGGGUAAAAUUUAUACAUAAAAUAAAGCAAAAUGGUUCUUUGGAAUGUCUAUCUAGACAAGCAAUCACAGCAUCAUGAUCUUCAGAUGUUCGAAUAACAAAAUACCUUGAAGGAAGAAUACAAUGUAGAAUAUACAUCAUGAAACCACCUCUAGUCUCCAGAUAACAAAAAGUUACAAGAUUAGAAGCAAAGCAUAAAAAUAAGGCAUCAACUGAUAUUAAUUAUAAAUAAUACUACUGAAAAGUAAUCAUUCAAUUACAAUAAACAGAGACAAAGAGAAAAAGGAUAAAGAAGAAAUACUGAGAUUAAGCAAAGAAGAUAACAUUUGAUACAGAAAUAUAAUAACAAAUAAUAAAAAAGAAUUAUGCUAUUCACAAAGAAAUAACUCUAAUAAGAUACCAAAGUUACUGGCAUAGUUAAGAAAAAAGAAGAGAGAGAUUUAGGGCUACCUUCCAGUAUUUAAUUGUUUUGUCAUUUGUGGAAAGGAGAAAAAGUGCAGAAUUGGAUGUUUGGCACCACCUGAUCUUGUUGAUUUUCUCUUCUAUUUCCAAGCUUUUGAGAUAGUCAAACUAAAACAUUAACAGCAAAGUCAGCAGAAUGACACAUAAGGUAGAAUGAUGAUAUUGUAAUGCACUUUACAAUCAAUUACAUCAAUAAUUCAUUAAUUCUACAAUUUCAGCUAGACUGUUGCAGUCAAUAAAGGAGCCAGCGUGAAAAAUUAGACAUAAAUGUGUGAACUUUUCCAUAUCUCUACUUAAUUCCGCAUUUCUCUAAAAUAAUACCUCAGGUUCAUGACUCUGAAACUCAGUUUUGUAGCGAAACUCAGGAUGCCUACUAAUCGGGUAAUCUUGUCUCUCCAGCUCUCUUCGAUUACCAUGCUGCAAUGGAAUUGACCAGAAGUCUAUGUUAAUGUAAAAGAACAAUAUAAAGGGAAAGCAAUAGCAGUGCAAACCCAAGAUAAUCAACAUACAUUUCGAACAUCUGUCCUUUCAAAUAAAACUACACGUCCUCCCCGAUCUCCAGUAGCAAGAUGAUCUCCAGAUUUAUUAAAUUCUAUUGCAGAAAUAAUGUCGACUGCAAGAUAAGCUGCAUGUCAGCAAGCAAAACAGGAAUCUGCAGGGAACUAUCGCAGUGAAUUAACAAAAAAGGAAACGUCAUCUUCCCUAAUAUUGUUUGGAAAUAAUAGAAGAAGAAUGUGACCUGCUGGAUAAGAAAAUCACACAGAGACCCCUAAAUAUAGGCACAUUUGGAAUAGUUGACUUUUCUUUUUAUUGGUAUCCUCCUAACUUUUGGUGGAUUUGAAUUGAGUUACCAAAUGAACUAAUUUGGGGACUCUGCUAGUACCAGUGCCGCCAUCUUCUUCACCUCCAUUCUCUCCAUCCGACUCUCAUCCUCUUCAACUCCCAUCUUUGUCCUAGACUAUGCUACCAACAUUAGUGCUCCAACUUCAAGAACAACCAAGCAUAGCCGCUCUCUUCUCUCCUUCUGCUCAUACUGCAGCUAAUAAACCCUCACCCUCUUCUUCCACUCUCAUUUGUAGGCCCUCUAUAGCUCUGCUUUCACCUUACAACUGAUAGACACGAGUCCGUCAGGUGCACUUCAAGAACCAUCAGGGCAAUGAUUUGAAGGGCUGAAAUUAGCACUCUGACAACCGACUUACCAACAGAAUCCCCAUUUUAGCUGGCAGAAUAACUCAAAAGAAACCUACUGAAUGUUAAAGACUUGAAGUUCAAUAUAAUCGUAAAACAGUCAGAAGUUUGAUCGGGUGAUUAGUAAUCAGUAGAAAUUAUGCAUUAAAAGCUCACAAACUCAAUGGGCAGAAGUUAAAACUAUCGCCAAACAAAUCAAGCACCCGAUAUUCUCCGAGAAGCACCAAUACAAGCCAACAUAUAGUGUUCCACCUUCCACAAGUUAAAUCCAACUAUAAUAAGAAUUAAAGUUCUCGACUUUAUCACUAAUCCAAGUAGUCGAGCACCAAAAGUGCAACUUUUACACAAAUUCCAGCUGAACUAUACAUAAAACUCCCUUCAAAACCCUAAGUAACCAUUUCGGAAAACAAAAUCCUAUGACAUGAAUCUCUCUAAAUCGGAGGGAUCUAGAACAAGCUAGAAGGCGAGGACAUCGUACCUUCUUGCACUUCCUCCCCCGCCGUACGCUCCCCGAAGACCUGCGAGAAUUUCCACUCCAGCGGCGAGGCCGGCAGCGCCGACGACCCCCCGGUCCCCUCGGGCCCCUUUCCGUUCAUCGUCCGACGAGGAUCCCGGCGAGAUCGCGCCAAGGCAUCAACGAUCCGGCGGAGAUCGCGGCGUAGCGGGCUGGGAGAUCAACGGUCGGGGCUCGCCGACGGAUUCGCCGAGGGGGCGGUGGGGGCAAGGGCCAUGGACGAGGGUUUCGGAGAACGGGUGCGGUGGCAACGGAGACCGAUAACGCGACGAAAAUGAUAAUAAUACAAGGAGCUCUCUCUCUCUCUCUCUCUCUCUCUCGCGCCCUAGCGAGAGAAGGUGUUGCCUCUUAUUAUUUUCCCCUUUCUCGCCUUUCUUUUUUCGCCUUUUCUUUUAAAUAAAAUUAUUAUUGGAACUUCUCUCCUGUAUUAAGUGGAAAAAUGUACGGACUCCACCUCAACUAUACGCUCUUCUGAAAUCGAUUCCUAAGCUUUUUUUUUUUUUAUGAUAAGAUCCCUCAACUUCCAGUUUUUUAUUUUACCCAAUUUUUAUACUUAAUUAUGUCAACCAAGAAAAAUGGGUGGGUUAUUUUAGAAUAUCCAAUACUUCAAUACUUGAGAGGGUACCUGUAUAUUUUCACCGCAAAAAAGUAAAAAAAAAUUGAGACCCUUUAUUCAUACUCUUUUCUAAAGUAAACACCCCACUUAUUUUUGAAUAAUUAUAUUAGUAAGUUGUUAUAUAUAUGAGUGAUGAGUUAAAAAUAUAUAUUAAAUAGGGUAAAAUUUUUGCUAUGUGGAAAAUAAAUCUAAUUAAUUCGGCAUGAUUAUUUAUUUUAAUCAGAAUUAUUAGAAGCUCAGGGGGUCUAAAAUUUGACAGGCUACAUCAGAAUAGCUUAUAGCUGAGGGGUUUCUCCACAUUUCUAACACCAAUGGUCCCCGCACCGUACGAAAGACGAUACUACCCAGAGAAUUGGGUAAGGUUAUAAUGGUAAAAUCGCCUGCACCCGUACCCGGCCUAUGAAACAAUGCCAAACGAGGCUCGAUCAAAUUCGAGCCACAAAGUAAAUAAGUCUAUUUGACCAAAGGCCGUUUUUAGUUCCACGUAAAAUUAUUUUAAAUAUUUUUUUAAUUAAUAAAUAAAACUUUAAUAUUUAAUUGCUUGAAAAAAAAAAAGAAAUCAUUUUUUAUAGAUUCAGAGAAAAUGAGAUAUUUUCGUUUUUCGCUCUGUUACGGAAAAAAAAAAAAGAAAAAAAAAAAAAAACUAAACGCCCAAAAAAAUGAGACAUUGGGAGGAGAAGGGGCAGCCGAUAAAUGCGUUUCACCACGAGGUACACUCUAUCUCGUGCGACCCGCUUUGAGAGGAGACCUCGUGGACCUCUCUCUCCCCCCCCCCCACUUUUCUUUUAUAUAUAUAUAUAGAGAAGAGAGAGAGAGAGUACGGCUACCACACUAUUAUGAGUAGGAUGUCCUCGUACUCAUAAGUUAGUUUUCGAUGAUAGAGCUUCCGAAUCGACGAUCCACACCGUUAAACGUUAUUUACAACAUUUAAAACUUCUAGAAAUCAAUUUUAUAAUUUUCCACAUCAUUUACCUAUACGAUCAAGAGGUCACAAUUUUGACAAUUUUUAACGACCGUAUGGAUACUUGCUAGUUUAACAGUGUAAAAGAAUCGAAAUUGUUAAUUUUUGAUAGAAAAUUCUAUUCACUACAUAAAUAAAAGAUCAAUAACUCUGAUUUUGAAUUGAAGGAAUCCGAACAUCAUUCUUUUUUAGGAACAUCGUUCGAUUUGAAGAUAUAACACACUUGAUGGACCUUUUAAUAGAAAUUAUCGAAAUUAUGAAUAUAUAGAAGAUCUAAAUAAUGUAAACGGAGUGGAUACGAAAUUCGGAAGCUCACUAUCACCGAACAACACUUAAUAAACUACCCGAGAGCUCACAAUACUUAUAAUAAAGCUAAACAUAAACAUGGCACUAUAUAAGAAAAUAUUCUAUAUAUAAAUAUAUAUAUAAUAUAACAUUAUAUAUAUAUAUAUAUAUAUAUAUAUAUACUAUACUUAUAUAGCUAGAAACAAAUAUAGACAAAAUCCAAACCACAAAAAAACACCGAAAAAAAUAUAACUAAAACGAGACAAAAAAAUAGACGCAAAAAGCCAACAAAAUAAAACACAACAUAACCUUACACAACUAAAAGUUGAGUGUACGUACAGAUACAACCGUAAAUUAAUUAUUUCAAUAAUUAUUGUUAAUUAAUUAAAACAACUUGUACAGUUAUAUUAUUUCAAAUUUAAUAUUUAAAAUAAUUUAUUUAUUAUAUACACUAUUAGAAAAUACCGUCAUCUUCUUAAUUCAAUAUUAAAUAAUUGCUGUAAAAUAAUUAUAUAUGUUUUUUUUUUUUAUAAAAUUUAUAUAUAUGUAAAUAAUAUACAUGAAUUAUUUCUAUAUUUUUUAUUCUAAAUAAAGUUUUUAAUUUAUAUAUACUUUCAAUUAAAAGGUAUCAAAAUUUAAAAAUUAAUAUAAUAAUAAAAUAUUAAUAGAUAAAAUAGAGAUUAUAUUACUAUAUUAUAGAUAGACGAUAAAGAAGAAUUAAAUAAAUUUUGAAUUAAAUAAAGAGAUUAAAUAAAUUUGAGAUUUAAAUAAAUAGAAAGAAUAAUAAAUUUAGGAAUUAAAAUAUAGAUCCAUAGUAAAAUAUUUUUGCGGUUGACAAACUUUGAAUAAGCAUAUAAUUUUUUCUCCUAUUGUGCAAGAUUAAAAGUUUGUUAACUGUUAUUUAUUUUCACGUAGGAAAGAUGAAUCAAUUUUUUUUCCCGCCAAAAAAUGUGUAUGCCGCAGAUCCCGAAAUUGAAAUUACGCUGCUUCUAUAAUAAUAUAACUAUAUAUAUAUAUAUAUAUAUUACUAUAUAUAAUAUAUAUAUCAUUAUAUACUAAUAUAUAUUAUAUAUAUUAACCAAAAUAGUAUUUUGUUUUGAUUUAAGUUGUAAUAACUAUUAUACAUCAAAUCUGUUGCUAUUAAUAGAUUUUUGGCCGUUGAAACUAAAAAAAUGUAUGAUUAGGAAUAAUGUGUACCUCUAGGAUUUAGUGGUUAUUGUUUGAUAGUAUAAUUAAUGGUGAUAAAAAUCAAAAGUUAAAGUUCUUACGGCCGAAAACUCAUGCACCAAACGUUUGUUACUAUGAUAGUAUCCAGCCGACUCUUUUAUUUUAUAUGAAAUACUAUUAUUAUGUAAUAUUUAUUUAUAACAAUACAUAUUUUUAUUUAAAAUAUCUAGUAAUUUAUUUAUAGUUUAAAUACUAUACUUUAUUAUAAUUUAUUACAUACUAAUUAUUGUUUAAUAUAUUUUAAAUAUAUUUUUUAUAAAUAGUAAAUGAUAAUACUUAAUAUAUUAUUAAUCAUGAUCAUUUAGUACAUAUCAUAAUAAUAUUAAUAAUAAGAAUAAAUAAUAGUAUAUAUUAUAUUAUAUAAUAUAUAUACAAUACAUUUUUUUUCUUUCAACCAAAUAACCAUAACGAAAAAUUAUUUUUUUAUCCUACAACCCAAAAUAUAUAUAAAAUUAUUUUUCUCUGAAAAUUUUUUCUCACUGAUUUUUUUUUUAGUUUUACGUAAAACCAAACACAUCCUAAGAUAAAUGUAUUUAUAUAUUUAAACUCUAAAUCUUACAUGCCAUUAAGAACUUGUUAACGCUUUAUUUGUAUCAUUAUUUUUUUAGGUUUUUGAAUAAAGUAUCCAAUAAAAAGAGGGUCAGAUGUAAAGUGAUGAAGAUUCGACCGACUAGGUCAUAUAAUGUCAAAUGACGGAUCUGUGUAAACUAUAAUCAUCCGUCGACAAAUCAUUCUGUUUGAAUAUAAAUACUAAUUCUUUUAUAAAAUUAUAUAUAUAUAUAUAUAUAUUAUAUAUAUAUAAAAGCACGUAUAUUCAAAUUUGGGUCUGUCGACAGACCCAUUUUUUGGCGGGAAAAAAAUAUUGUUUCCUCUUUCCUUACGUAAAAUAAAUAACGUAAUGAAACAAACUUUUAAUUUCUGUUUAUCUCUAAAAUAGAAAAAAAAAAUAUACACUUAUCCAAAUUUUUGCCAACCGAAAGAUAUUUACUGUGAAUCUAUAUUUUAAUUAAAAUUUUAUUUAAUUUUUUUCUCUCUAAAAGAGAAAAAAAAUUCAUGCUUAUCCAAAUUUUUGCCAGAAUAUCUACUGUAAAUCUAUAUUUCAAUUCAAAAUAUAAAAUUAAUUUAAAAUUUAAAAUUUUGGGACUAUCUAUAUAUUACAAUGAAAAUAAUUAGAAGAUAGGUAUUGGUUGAUAAAUUUGUAAUAUAUUUUGAUUUAUUGAUAUAAAUUUUAUGAUCAAUUUGAUAAAAUAUAUCCAACGAAGAACAAACACAUUAUGAUUAAUUGUUUAAAAAAAAAAACGUUCAUUACUAUUACCUAUAACUUUAUUCUCAAACGAAUGGUAAAUCAUUUAAAAUGAUAGGAAAAUCAUGGAAAUAUUAAAACUAAAAUGACAAAAUUAUUAUUCAAUGUGUUAAAAGUAGAACUCUAUCCAUUUAUUUACAUAAAAAUUUAAAUUUGAGUUUUAAUUGUAAAUUAAAUUAAAUUUUUGAUUUUUUGAUAUCAAAUCUAUCACUCAUUUUUAUAUUUAAAAUUAAAAAUUGAAUAUGUAGAUAUUUUCAUAAUAAAAUGCAUAUAAAAUUUAGAAAAUAUUUUAUUUAAUUUGAAUAAAUAUUGAUUUACAAAUCUUAUUGAUUAAAUUAAAUUAAAAUAUAUUACGUAGCGUUGACGUAUGCCUCAACUAGUAUAUAUAAAAGACAUAGUUUCAAAUUUCGGUCAGAUCGACUGAAUCCAUUUUUUGCAGAAAAAAUUAAUUCCUAUUCAUUCACGUAAAUAUAAUACGACAUUAACAAACUUUAAAUUCCUCUCAUGUUUUACAAGCUGAAAAAAUUUAUGGCUUAUUCAAUUUUUCUACCGGAGAAAUAUUGCUUAUUCUCUUCUCUAUAUAUAUAUAUCUCUAUUCCUACUACUAAUAUUUUAAUUAUUAUAUUAACUGUUUAAUUUAGAUACUGUUUAGUUUAAAAUUAGUUUAAUAUUUUUAAAUUUAUUAGAAUUAAAAAAUAUUAAUGUUAUAUCUAUUAUCUUAAUGUAUCAUCUAUAUUCUAACUAAUAUGUAAUUUAUCAGAAAAAUAUUUAUGUUAUCUAUUAUCUACAUAUAUAUAAAUUUUUAAAAUAAAAAAAAACCUAAUAUAUUAUGUGACAAAAUAUGGUAGGUAUUUCUAAUAGUAUAUAAUAAAUAAAUUUUUACUUUUAAAAAAAUUGUAUAUUUUAAUAAAUAUGAUGGACAAUUUACAAUAGUACUAUAUAAUAUAUGCAUAUAUAUAAUAAUAUAUAUAUAUAAUAUUAUACUAUAUAUAUAUAUAUAUGAGUCCGGCUACUAUACUCCUAUGAGUACGAUCUACGUACUCAUAAGUCGUUUUCGAUAAUAAGCUUCCGAAGCGACACAUUCGUACCGUUAAAACGUUAUCUACAGCAUUCUAAAACUUAAAAAUCAAUUUUAUAAUUUUAUUCGGAUUCUUUACCUUUACGAUCAAAUGUCCAAAAUUAAACAAUUUUUACUACGUCGGUAUGGAUACUUGUGUUUUUAACAACUAUAAAAGACUCGAAAUUGGUUGAAGUUUGAUAGAAAAUAUAUUGCAACAAUCUAGAUAAAUAAUGUAUUACUUCGAUCUUAAAUAAAGGAUCCGAUCAUUAUUUUUUAUGAUCGUUGUUCCGAUUUUGACCGUUCAUUGUUAUGCCCGUUUUGAUGACUUUAUUAUGAUUUCGAAAUUUCGAAAUUAUAUUUCUUAAAUGUUUCAAAGUUACUCUGAUGCAUUUUAUACGACAGUGGAUUGUCGAUUCGGAGCAUCCAUGCAUUGAAAACAAUUAUAAGUACGGAAGUUCAUACUAUAUAUAUAUAUAUAUAUAAUAUAUAUACACGUAGGUAUAUUUAUAAUAUAUAUAUAUUAUAUAUAUAUAUAUAUAUUUACUUAUAUAUAUAUAUAUACAUUGAGCUCCUAUGCUUUUAAAAGUCACAAAGUUUAUAUCGUGCUGUUGAUUUUAACAUUAGGUUAAGAGCAUAUGCGGUCUAGAAUGAUGUAGGGCCCCUAGGGAUUGAGUGUCGGGUGCGUUAGUUGAUAGUAUAAUCUAAUGGAUUGAAAAUGAUCCGAGAAGUAAUCUACGGCUUAAAAAAACUUACAAGCACAAGUACUUGGUGUUUUCAAGGCCCUAUAGCUGCACUAUAUAAACCUAUAACUAUA
rnacentral:lncRNA from 1 species